UCUCCCAUUCCCGUGGGAAUCCAACAGUAACUCUGACUGUGGAAUGCAAAACAAUGUCUUGUGACUGCAGUUGCUGCUCAGUGAGGGAAAUAGAAACCAACAUCCUCCCCCUUUCUGUGAACAUCACUGGGCAGCGUUUUCGUACAAUAUAAGUACAAAUCCAACUUCUGCACAUAGGUACAGUGUUGAUUCCUUGAUACAACCUUGGACAAUACAUCAGCAGGAAUUUCAUUACCUGGCAUAUAGGACACCGUUACGAGUCCCUUCUGAACACGUUCCCUAGCAUGUUGCAACUUUAAUUGCAAAUGCAUUGUGCUUUGCUUACAACCUUCGGAAUUCAGCAAAGCCAAACAUGCUUUGUUGUCCCGGUAAACCUGGAUUGGACAUUUGACUUUCUUGUGUCUUGUGCAGAACUUCCUCAAGUCAGCCUUUCCUCAUCCGGUUUCAUAAGGGAAGCCUGCAGGAUCAGGCCAUUGGCCCUCCUAGUCUAGCAUUCUGUCCUCGCAGUGGUCAGCUAGGUGCCCAUGGGAAGUCUGCAAGCUGGACAUGAGCUCAACAGAACUCUGCUUCCCUACGAUUCCCAGCUACUGGUAUUCAGAGGCACAUCACAACCAUCCUGUUGGGUGCCCCACUGUUGCUGAAAGACCUACACUGGCUCCCAGUAUGUUUCCAAGCACAAUUCAAAGUGUUGGUGCUGACCUUUAAAGCCCUAAAUGGCCUCAGCCCAGUAUGCCUGAAGGAGCGUCUCCACCCCCCUCGUUCUGCCCGGACACUGAGGUCCAACUUGAGGGUCUUCUGGCAGUUCCCUCCCUGCAAGAAGUGAAAGUACAGGGAACCAGGCAGAGGGCCUUCUCGGUAGUUGUGCCUGCCCUGUGGAACACCCUUCCAUCAGAUGUCAAGGAAAUAAAGAAGUAUCUGACUUUUAGAAGACAUCUGAAGGCAGCUUUGUUUAGGGAUGUUUUUAAUGUUUAAUGUUUUAUUGUGUUUUUAAUAUUCUGUUGGGAGCUGCCCAGAGUGACUGGGGAAACCUAGCUGGAUGGGUGGGGUAUAAAUAAAAUAAUAAUAAUAAUAAUAGGAAUGACUUCCCCUCCACUCAAUUUCACAUAUAUACUGAUGGGAAUAUGCUCCCUGCUUGUAAUCCAGAUAGAGACUUUGGAGUGGUUCUGGAGAACUCAACCCAGUUUUCAAUAACUUUGAAAAAUGGUAAAGUCGAUGAUGGGGGAAAGGGGUUGAAAAUAUAAUGUCAGAACAGUCACAGAACACUCCUAGAAAAAGAUCUAGGAGUCUUGGUUGACCACAAACUUGACAUGAGCCAACAGUGUGAUGCGGCAGCUAAAAAAGCCAAUGCAAUUCUGGGCUGCAUCAAUAGGAGUAUAGUAUCUAGAUCAAGGGAAGUAAUAGUGCCACUGUAUUCUGCUCUGGUCAGACCUCACCUGGAGUACUGUGUCCAGUUCUGGGCACCAGAGUUCAAGAAGGACACUGACAAACUGGAACGUGUCCAGAGGAGGACAACCAAAAUGGUCAAAGGCCUGGAAACGAUGCCUUAUGAGGAACGGCUAAGGGAGUUGGGCAUGUUUAGCCUGGAGAAGAGGAGGUUAAGGGGUGAUAUGAUAGCCAUGUUCAAAUAUAUAAAAGGAUGUCACAUAGAGGAGGGAGAAAGGUUGUUUUCUGCUGCUCCAGAAAAGCGGACACGGAGCAAUGGAUCCAUACUACAAGAAAGAAGAUUCCACCUAAACAUUAGGAAGAACUUCCUGACAGUAAGAGCUGUUCAACAGUGGAAUUUGCUGCCAAGGAGUGUGGUGGAGUCUCCUUCUUUGGAGGUCUUUAAGCAGAGGCUUGACAACCAUAUGUCAGGAGUGCUCUGAUGGUGUUUCCUGCUUGGCAGGGGGUUGGACUCGAUGGCCCUUGUGGUCUCUUCCAACUCUAUGAUUCUAUGAUUCACUUCAAAUGCCUUUUUACUUUAUUUUAAUUUAGUUUAAAGAUAUUUAUGUUUAUGUGUUUUUUUUUAAUAAAUCAGAAGAAAUGGUACAAUGUACAGACUUCUGGGUCUGCACUGCAAGGCAGGUAAAAAGAAGGGCAAACCCUGUGCCUUUUUAAAUUGGGUGAGCAGGACAGCAGAUGUGUUUUCUGCCUGAAAAGUGAACAGGACAUCUGUGUGGAAGAGUUUCUCCAAGGCGCUUUGAAAUAAAGUCGCUUAUUCAGCUGUGGGAACGCACAGAGACACAGAGACACAAAGAACAUAGGUGCUCAAAUGCAUGAUUUUUAAUUAGCAGAAGAAGGAAAACAAUCACCAGAGAUUCAGCUCCAUUAAAAGCGCAAAAGCGUAGCGAAGAGGGUUGCAGAGGCCAUGGAAAUGUUCAGGCUAUGGAUGUAACGCAGCCAACAUCCUGACGUUAUCUGUGCGAGAGAGAGAACAUUGUCAGAGUCUGCAGUUUUUAAUGCUGUAUUACAUAGAUAAUCAUGAAUAAAAAGCUGAACACAUUCAGAUGCAAAACACAAACACAGAUUUUAAUAUAAAGAAAAAAGAGGAGAAAUACAUUGGUAUGGGGCUUGUCCUUUAAAUCAUGCUGUGGCUCGCCAGAUGUUGUGGGAGCCCACCUCCCAUUGGCCCCAACAGCCAGUAUGGCAAGGGAUCAGGGGUGAGGGAGAUCUGUAGGCUGGCAACAUCUGGAGAAACAGAUUGGCCUUUCCUGACUUGAAUAGGUUCUGAGCAUGAUAAUUUGUUGUUUGUCCCUUAAAAAUACUGACUUAACUUUGAUGGGUGGUAUAUUGGAUUGGAUGUAGUGAAUACAUAUAUUUUAAUAGUGGACAGAUGAAAAAUCAGAAGUUCCUUCUUUUCCGAAUCUUAUUUUUUUCUACCUUUCUCUUUUAACCUCUUUUCUCCUCUGUUUCUUUCUUUGUCUCUCCUUCCCCCUUUUUGUGUUUUUACUGUAUUUAGAUAGUCUUGGUGUGGUUAAAAAAAGGGAAAAGGAUAUUAAGUUUUGUAAUUUUCUCUGUGAAUCUUAAUAAAAUUUAUUAGAGAAAAAUACAGAGUAACUUGAAAUACACCAGUGAUUUGAACCCAACUCUCCUCCUAACAUAAUACAUGAUGCCAAUAUUAGAAGGCCAAUUGAUUUUUUAAAGCUUCCCUAUGGCUCUGCUCUUGUCAAGCUUAGUAACACCAAAGCAAUUCAUUCUGAUUGUUUUAUUUCCACUAUUCUUCACGUAACCUAGGUUUUGUGUUGUUUUUUUUGCAGAAAAACCCUCGAUGCUAGCAUGUGAUUCCUAAGGAAAGUAUCAGCAACUGCAAAUUCUGAGCCACAGCAGAACUUGGUAGAAAAACUAGAACAAAACUGGGGUUUGGAGAUGUGAACUGUCUCCUGGAAAAGUCCCCAAAGCACCCCAGUUCCUAUAUUAACUAUGUCACAAUGAUCUAGACCAUUUUGUCUUCCUCUUCUGUUACAGAUCAUAACUAGAAGACCAGUCUUCAGGUAGCCCGGAUUUCUUUCAAAAAAAGCUGGAUGUUAGCAUGUAUUUCCUAAGGAAAGCAUCAGCAACUGCAAAUGCUAAGCCAUAGCAGGGCCUGGAAGAAAUACUGGGGCAGAAUUGGGGUUUGGAGGGGAAACUAUCCCUUGGAAAAGCCUUGAAAGCACCUCUAUUUCUAUAUUAACUAUUUCACAAUGAUUUGGACCAUUAUGCUUUCCUGCAUAUCAUAAACAGAAGAACAGGAGAGGAAGAGAGUUGCCCAGGUGACAGACUCAGCCUCUGUGGUACAGCUCAGCAUUUUAGAAAGCAUCAGCAGCACACAGUGGGCCAAGUUCAUAGGCUCUUCCAGCAUGGAUGGAAUUGAGGUGGGAACCUAACAGCCUAUGAAGAAGCAUGUAGAAGUUCUGGGUGAGUCAUUUCUUGGCCCCAGCAACUUCUACAGAUCAGGCACGUGUAACAGACACAAGAACAUGCCAAGCUAUUUUUUCACUCUGGCCAGCAGUAUUCCUACUUAUUGUGUUCUGUAUACAAAUAUGCUAUUCUUAUUCUCCUGCCAGAUACAUUAAUAGGUCUUAAAAGCCAGCCUGGGUUUUGAUUUGCACCGGGACCUCUCCAAACUGGCUUAGAUAAAAAGAACCAAUGGACAAAACAAUCCUGACAGCAGGGCAGGAGAAUUCUUACCUAUCUUCUGCAGCACCAUCUUUUUGGGUUACCACAAUGUCCCUUGUGAUGUUUGCCUGGUGGGCAAAAGCCAUUAUGGCAGCUGCCACCCAUCCUGCGACAUGCUGCCUCUGAUGUCUGCGCAAGUGCUGUAGCAAAAGAAAGAACAAGUUGUGUUCUCAUUGUCAUUCCUGCUAAUAGAAGACUCAGCUGGUGGGUGGCAAUAGGACUGUAGCCAAAUUACCGUAUUUUUUGCUCUAUAAGACUCACUUUUUCCCUCCCAAAAAGUAAGGGGAAAUGUGUGUGUGUCUUAUGGAGCGAAUACAGGCUGCACAGCUAUCCCAGAAGCCAGAACAGCAAGAGGGAUCGCUGCGCAGUGGUCCCUCUUGCUGUUCUGGCUUCUGAGAUUCAGAAUAUUAUUUUUUCUUGUUUCCCUCCUCCAAAAACUAGGUGCGGCCUAUGGUCUGGUGCGUCUUAUAGAGCGAAAAAUGCGGUAAUAGAAGGGGCUGUGGCUGGAGCACUGGACAGGGGCACCUUCCCCUAUUGAGAACCACCCAAAUAGCAAGAGAAUGAUUUCCGGGACUUCUUGGGCAGCCUCACAUAGAGUACAUUCCAUUAACUCAGCUUUGAGGUUACCAAUGCAUGGAAUAUAAUGGUUUGGCUUUCCGUGUCCAGGAAUACCAUAGCUAACAAACCAGAUGAAAUUGGUAAAAUACACACCUGGGCACAGGGUUUAUUUGGGGCUCUAUUGACAAAGUUGCAUCCAGGAACAUCCCAAACUACACAAUUUUUCCUCCACAGGGACUGCACCAUCCUGAACAGUUAACCUUUCUUUCUCCUGGACAUAGGAUCACCCACCCAAAUAAGGUCCCAUCUUUGCAGCAUUCAAACAAAGUUUAUUGCCCCCCCCAUCUAAUCCACCACUGAAAAUUAGGUAAGCAAAAGGAAGAGGAAUAAUAAUAAUAUUUGUUUGUUUGCCGCCCCUCUGACUGGGUUGCCCCAGCCACACUGGGCAGCUUUCAACAAAUUAAAAUGCAGUAAGACAUCAAAUCUUGCUUAGCAGCCUGGUUCCAAUAGAGCAAGAACUACAUCUCCAAUCACACAUGGUCAGUGGUCAUGGUGACUGGGCUUCAAGGGAAUUGGAGCCUCAAAACAUCCAAGGACCCAUUGGUUGUCCACCAUGCUACAGAACAUGAUAGCAAGCAGUUGCAUAUUUUCCCGAGGUCCCCGUGUAGGGAUCCACUAUAGAACUGCUUUGAGCUUUACUACAGUCAAGUGGCAUAUAAAUUUUUAUGAAAUAAAUAAGUAACCUUACCUGGAGCAGCCAUCAGUACAAAGAAGAGAACAGCUGCAAGGAAGGCAAAGAUCUUCAUGACUGAAAGAUUGGAUGGUGUUUUAAGAGAUGGUGGGAUGGAGAGAUGCUCGAAAGGUCCUUGUAUUUAUAUGACAAAAAGGAGCAUGUCACACCAUGGGUUGGACAUCUUGUGGGUGCUGUGCAAUAUUUUGCUGCAGUUGCAUAUUAGCACAAUUAAGCAAAGAUCUCCCUAGAUAAGUUGGGAAAGGAUUCAUAAGGAAGUUACAGCCUGAAGACAACAGCCUGUUGUCUAGACAUUACUUGUAAUUCCGGAAUUGAUGUUAAUCAAAGAUGCUAAUUCCUAGUUUUAUGUUUCUUUUCCAAGUCUUCCUCACCUUCUUCCACCCUAGAAUGCUUAAAAAUUGGCAAGCUAAAAUUAAUAAAUUUCAAGGGAAGUCCCAAAGAAUCUCAAUAGAGUUAAAUCCUUAGCUAAAGACAAUUAUGCAAACCUGGGGGGGGGGGGGGAGUUAUGGCAGUAACGACUGGCUCUGGGCUGCUUAUCACUCAGCUCAAUACAGUUUCAUGAGAAAAUACAAGAUACUCCUGUAUCUAUUACCACUUCAUGGAAUUUUGAAAAAAAUAAUAAACCUGUGCCGCUAGAGCAAUUGUUGAUAGAUGUGGGGAAUAUAUCCCUAAGUUGUGAUCUUACACAUCACUUGGGAAGACAGGUGAACUAACACCAGUGUACUGGAUGAAGCAAAGACCACCAGUGUUGAAGCAAUGAUUCUUCAUCAUCAACUUUGUUGGACUGGUCAUGUUGUGCGGAUGCCUGAUGAUCGUCUUCCAAAGCAACUACUCAAUUCCGAACUUAAAAAUGGAAAGCUGGUGGUCAACAAAAGAGGUUUAAAGACUCUCUCAAGGCAAAUUAAAAAAAAAAAGUAGUAUAAACACUGACAACUGGGAAACACUGGCCUGCGAGCGCUCCAGCUGGAGAACAGCCUUUACCAAAGGUGUCAUGGGCUUUGAAGACACUCGAAAUCAGGAUGCAAGGGAGAAAUGUGCUAAGAGGAAGGCACGCUUGGCAAAUCCACACCGUGAUCAGCUCCUGCCCGGGAACCAAUGUCCCCACUGUGGAAGGAUGUGUGGGUCCAGAAUUGGCCUCCACAGUCACUUACAGACUCAUUGCUAAAACUGUGUUUAUGGAAGACAAUCUUACUCAGCUACAAGUGAUAGCCAUAGAAGAAGAAGAAGAUCCCCCAGUUGGUUCCAAAAAAAUACAAUAUAUAUGCCUGUUAGAAGAUUUAGUUAUGAAAGCAUGGGCAACUAGAGACCACUAAUGAAAGCAAAACAAAUUAUGCUGAACAAGGGAAGUAGGGGCUCACAUGCAAUAACCCUGAUACCAUCAUGAGAACAAAUCAUUGUGAAUGCCCAAUAAAAAGGAUACCUGGAGGACCUUUGCUUCACUGAGCAUUCAUUCUGAUUUGUGAACACAGGGUUCAUGGAACAAUGCACACUGACAUCCUGCAUUCAUCCUGAUUUUAUUGAGAGGUCUUCACAUACAGGGCCGGAUUUAGGUUUGAUGAGACCCUAAGCUACUGAAGGUAAUGGGGCCCUUGAUAUGUCCAGCUGUCCUUUGUCAACAACAAAUUGUCACUGUUUCUUGUGUUGAAUAGAUGCUGUAUGGUAAUUUAUGGACCUAAUAGGUGUCGCGGGUGGCGCUGUGGUCUAAGCCACAGAACCUAGGGCUUGCUGAUCAGAAGGUCGGCGGUUCAAAUCCCCGCAAUGGGGUGAACUCCCCUUGCUUGGUCCCUGCUCCUGCCCACCUAGCAGUUCGAAAGCAUGUCAAAGUGCAAGUAGAUAAAUAGGUACUGCUCCGGCGGGAAGGUAAACGGCGUUUCCGUGUGCUGCUCUGGUUCGCCAGAAGUGGCUUAGUCAUGCUGGCCACAUGACCUAGAAGCUGUAUGCCAGCUCCCUCGGCCAGUAAAGCGAGAUGAGCGCCGCAACCCCAGUGUCGUCUGCGACUGGACCUAAUGGUCAGGGGUCCCUUUACCUUUAAUAGGUGUCUAAAGCCAUUUGCACCUAACAAAAUAUGUAUUUUAUAAAAAUAAUUGUUGAAUUGAAAUACAAUUAAGAAGAAAUGGUUUUUUAUAUUAUAUUAUAUUUUUGAAAUGUACAUCCAGUUUUUUCCCCUUUAAAUUUUUUUGGGGCCCCCAAGAUAGUGGGGCCAUAAGCUAUAGCUUGUUUAGCUUAUACGUAAAUCUGGCCCUGUUCAUAUAUCUUCCAUUUUAGGCAUUCAUUGAUACCACAUUUUAAAAUGCAUUUCCCAAUCAAUGACAAUCUUUGGAGGUGUCCCAAGAACCUCAUUUUCUAAUCUUACAGUUAAUCACAUUUCAACACUGGCUUGCAAAUUACUUUUUAUAUAAAAAAAAGUUCUCAUGAAAAUUCCUCAACCUUUUCAUGAAUAUUUUUUUUUUACAGAUUUGCAUACAAUCUGGAAUAAUAAACUUCCCAAUUUGUCUGUUGCUUGGUCUAAACAUGGCACAUGACAGGGGCAUUUUCUGCUUUCAUUUGUCAUGCCUGUACCUAGUAUAGGUUCAACAGAGAAUGCAUCUUCUGCAUAGAAACGAGGUCUGUGGACCUUUCCAGGACAGUUCUGAUCCAAUAGGAAACUAUUGAUGCAAUGUUUCAGUGGUGGCAUUACUUGGUUUGAAUCUCCUUUGGGUGAGUUGACACUGGCAUUUUUGUAAAAUUGCUUUAUUUACAAACAUUCAAGUAGCACAUAAAUUGCUUUUAAUUUUUUGAUUUUUUUACACAUUUGCAGACAGCAUGGAAGUCGAGGCAAGCUGCAGGCAAACAGAUUCACUACCACACAUUGGACGAAAACAACCAUUUCUUCAGCUGGGGUACAAAUCUUUUUUGGUCAGGAUUUUGAUGCAAACCUACCUGAUCCCCACUUUCAGAAACAUGCGUAUAUAUAGUAUUGGUGAAAAUGGCAUAUAAACGUGCAUUAUUAUAGGAUAUAUUGCUUGUAGAAAUGUUUGUGUCAGCAAAAUUGCACACAGAGCGGUGUAGAGAAAUUUGCAUUAAAAUAUAGGUGAAUCUUCAUGAGGACAUUUUCCAUUUUAAAAAGAAGCUACAAACGGAUUCAGAAAUGUGGUGAGCAGAAACUUAAAACUGGAAAAAAAAAUAAGAAACUGAGAGAAAUGAAAUUGAGAGAUUCAUCCAUCCUUCACCUUCCCUAAGGCACCCUUCCCCAGUGUGAUAACUGCCAGAUCAACCCUGGUCAGUAUUGCCAAUGGUCAAGGAUGAGAGCAGUUGCAAUCCAAGAUAUCUGGAAGAAACCAGUUUGGGGGAGAUUCUCAUAAGCGAUGGGGUCAUAAUUGCAAGGCCUUUCCUUCGACGGGCAAUAGAUUCCACCCACUCGCUAUGUACUGAUCAAACAUGACAGGAAGCCGUUGAUCAAUCGUAGGUGUGCCCAAUUCUCAUUACAGAUUUGCAUCCCUGCACAUAUCUCACUCUUCCUUCCCAGAAGCAAUGUGAAGCAGUGUUUUGAAACAAGCCAAAUUGGCCGUUUUGCUUAAAUAAUUGUCAACAACAGCACUGGAGACAGAAGUAUGUCACACGGGUUUACAGACAGAGCUCCGGGGAAACAUUGGCUCCCAGUACAUUUCCGAGCACAAUUCAAAGUGUUGACGUUUGAAGCCCUAAACGGCCUCGGUCCUGUAUACCUGAAGGAGCAUAUCCACCCCCCAUCGUCCGACCCGGACACUGACAUCCAGCUCCAAGGGCCUUCUGGCGGUUCCCUCACUGUGAGAAGUGAAGCUACAGGGAACCAGGCAGAGGGCCUUCUCAGUAGUGGUGCCCACCCUGUUGAAUGCCCUCCCAUCAGAUGUCAAGGAAAUAAACAAAAAUCUGACUUUUAGAAGACAUCUGAAUGCAGCCUUGUUUAUGGAAGUUUUUAUUGUUCGAAGUUUUAUCAUAUUAUUAUUAUUAUUAUUAUUAUUAAAAUUAUUAAACUAACCUGGUAACUUUGCAACUUUGUUUGCAGACCUACACACAGACGCCUUUCAAAGAAGUUUUGAGGCAGAGGAUUCCAAGUUCAACCACUGCCUUCUCUCAUUACCAAUACAGUGUGCUUGUGUUGUGGAGGUCAUCACUAGAGACCAGACAGUUCCUGCUGAUCUUUGGUUAACUGGACCUGUGUCCCAAUCUUCCAUUAUUGCACUAUACUUCUUUCUAGCCUUCUGGUGUCACAAAUGGCCAUUCCUAAAUAUAUGUUCAGGAAUGCACCUCCCUUCAGCCGUCUUUCAAUUCCUGCCCUGUGAGAGGGAUCCUCAGAGAGUGAGGAAAGAGAGUAAGACCUCGAAGUUUGCUCUCACUGGACUUCCCCUAGUCAGGGCCACCUGCCACCAUUUGUGUUGCAAAAAGAAUAAAUGGAAAGAGAAGGAGACAGGCAAAGAUCAGUGAAAAGCUUGUUGGAGCUGGAGACUCUGCCAUGCAGCUACUGACCACCACUAGGAAGGAUGCUAAUGAAUACUUUAAUAUUAUGAUUGUGAUUCUAUUAAAGUAUCUUUAUUCCUUGCAAGCCACCCUGGAAGGAUUUGUAUCCUGACAUCAUCAUCAUCAUCAUUUAUUUAUUUAUACCCCACCUAUCUGGCUGGGUUUCCCCAGACACUCUGGGCAGCUCUCAACAGAAUAUUAAAAACACGAUAAAACAUCAAACAUUAAAAACUUCCCUAAACAGGGCUGCCUUCAAAUGUCUUCUAAAAGUCAGAUAGUUGUUUAUUUCCUUGACAUAUUAUGGGGGGCGGCGCGUUCCACAGAGCAGGUGCCACUGCCGAGAAGGCCCUCUGCCUGAUUCCCUGUAACCUCACUUCUUGUAGUGAGGGAACCGUCAGAAGGCCCUCGGAAGCUAAACGAUGGGGGUGCAGACGCUCCUUCAGGUAUACUGGGCUGAGGCUGUAGACCUGACAGGAGGGACAUAAGCCAUUGUAAUAUAUAAAUUCUUUGCACAUCUCCAUUCUGGAGACAGCAAAGCCACUUCCGAGCUGGAGAGGAGGUGGGGUUGCGGGCCCACCCCCUCCCCACGCAGGCAUUGGCAGGGGUAAUUGUUACUCAAAUGAAGGGGGGGGAGGAAGCGCCAUCACCUUCCCCCAAAGCGAAGGGUAGUCUGGUAAAGGACUCCGGGGGGCGUUGCCCUGUCCGAAGCCUGUGGAGGUGUGGGCCUAAGGCACGCCCCCAAGCGGUGACACCCGGGGGUUCCUAGUUGGCGUACUUCAGCAGGACUCCCCCGGCUGGUGGUUAACCCUUCCCAGUCUCCAUGCCGGGUAGUCGAUAGGAACCAACGCCUAAGGCCAAUACCUCUCAAUUCCUGUGAUCAAUAAAGUUGUGGCCUUUUUUGCCCAUUAACCUUAAAUAAUGUGUCCUGUGUCUUCAUUUCACAUGGGGGGAGGGGACUUGCCACGCAACACAGGAGCUCUAGUGACUUCAGAGGACAUACUGAAACAAAUGAUUAGGGACGUCCAUUUCUCCACAAUUUAGGUAAUGGAGAGUUGGAUUUAGAGGGUGGUGCAGGGGGAAGUGAACUUUGGUUGGAUAGCGCCCCUUGCAUCAUUUCCCCAGCCAGCAGUAAACCUCCUGAAGCUGGCUACACAUUAUGCUGGAAGAGGAGAGCAUUAGAAGACAGGGAAGCAUCCUCACGUUGCCUAAGAAACUGACCAACUCUUCCCUAUACGACACUUCGGUCUGUGGUAUAGAGCCUGGUACCAGAACACUGGGAAAAAGUAUAGCACACUAAUGGAAGGUUGGGACACUGGUUCAGUUGCCCAAAGAGCUGCGGGAAGUGGCCGGUCUCCCAGUGCUGACCUCUACAACACAAGCAUCCUGGUAAUGGGAGAAAGGUGAACUCAAAAGUUUCAUUGAAAGGCGUCUGUGUGGUUACGUGCAUGUCUGCAGCCAAAGCUGCAAAGUCUCCAGGUUAGUUUCAGCUGGGCCCUGUCUGUAAACCCAUGUGACACACUUCUGUCACCAUAGCUGUUGCUUACAAUUAUUUUUGUUCAGGAGCCAUUUUUUUCUGGUUCCAAAAUUUCCUUUCCUUUCCAUUUGGGAAGGAAGUGUGAAGUAUCUGCAAGGAUGUAAAUCAGUUACGAGCAUCAGACACACCUAAGAUUGGUCAAUGCUGCUCUGUCAGCAGGACUUGAUCAUGACACAGCAAGUAGCUGGAAUCGAUUGCCAGUCGAAGGAAAAGCUUUGCAAAUACGACCCAAUCAUUUAUGCAUUGUUAAGUGUUGUUGGCACCGAUAUAUGCAUUUGUAUUUACAUUUUUCUGUAAUAAAGUCAAACCUCAGUUGUCGAAUGUAAUCCGUUCUGGAAGCCUGUUCGGCUUCUGAAAUGUUCGACAACUGAGGCAUGGCUUCCGAUUCGUUGCAAGAGCUACUUUGGACAUUCAGCUUCCAAAAAACAUUUGAAAACCAGAGCAUUUACUUCUGGGUUUUCGGUGUUUGGAAGCCUAAAUGUUCCAAAACCUAGCCAUUCGGGAGCCGAGGUUUGACUGUAUAAUUAUUUUUUGUAGACAUUGCUUGGCCGGCUGCUGAAAAAGCAACACAAAAUUCAGGGCAAGGCAGAAAAACUGCUGUACUUCUGUGGUUUAUUGUUUCUGAAUCAGGUAGGUGCGCACUAAAAUCUUGGCUAAACCAGAUUUGUCCCCCCAAGUGAAAGAAUGUUUGCAUCCAGUGUGAGGUAGUGGAUCUUUUGCCCUGUGGGAAUGCCUGCCGUUUGCCUCCACUUACAGUAUGUGCUGCCUGCAUAUUUGCAAAAAAAAAAGAAAAAGCAAUUUUAUAAAAAAUGCCAUAGGUUUCAAGUGCCCUGUCAUCCAAAGGAAGCCAAAACCAAGUAAUGAUGCUGUUGGAACUUCUCACCAAUAGGAACGGGUUAAAGAGUCAAUCAAGGCCUGCAAAACAUGUUACAGUGGUACCUCGUUUUACGGACGGGAUCCGUUCUGGAGAUCCAUUCAUAGCAUGAAAAGCCCACAACUCGAAAUGUCGCAUCUGUGCAGGUGCAUGGCAUGAUUUAGCGCUUCUGCUCAUGUGUGAGCAGAGAAACCUGGAAGUAACCCAUUCUGGUACUUCUGGGUUGCCAUGGGAAGCAACCUGAAAAGACGCAACAUGAAGCGGACUCAACACGAGGUAUGACUGUACUAGUUUUUCUGCAUAAGAUGAAUCUUCCAAGACUUUUGGACUCUCAAAGAGAAGAAAAGCAGCAGUUCGCAAGUGUUCCUCAUGGCCACUGGGUGCUGUUGACCAGAUAAGUGGCUAUUUGGAAGCUUGCAUUGAAUGUAUUGUUCAGAGUUUGACAUGAUCAUAAUCAUUCAUCUAAAAAGGUAACGGGACCCCUGACCAUUAGAUCCAGUUGUGAUCGACUCUGGCGUUGUGGCGCUCAUCUCGCUUUAUUGGCCGAGGGAGCCGGCGUACAGCUUCUCGGUCAUGUGGCCGGCAUGACGAAGCCACUUCUGGCGAACCAGAGCAGUGCACAGAAAUGCCGUUUACCUUCCUGACGGAGCGGUACCUAUCUAUCUACUUGCACUUUGACGAGCUUUUGAACUGCUAGGUUGGCAAUAGCAGGGAGCGAGCAAUGGGAGCUCACCCCAUUGCGGGGAUUCGAACCGCUGACCUUCUGAUCGGCAAGUCCUAGGCUCUGUGGUUUAACCCACAGCGCCACCCGUGUCCCUAAUCAUUCAUCUAGCCACGUUUAAAGAAAUAAAAGGCAAACAAGGUGCUAUCCUAUUCAUAUGGAUAAAAAUUGUUUUUCUUUUUGUUAUUGUUACGACUACUGCUACCCAGGGGCAGAGGAAGGGGAGUGCAGUGGGGGAGGGUCGCCCCAGGUGUCCCCACUGAGGGGGGUGUCAAAAUGCCAGGCGGCACUCACCACGGGGCCUGCAGCGCCUCCGAGCCACGUGCCUCUCCUGGGUGGCAUGGGCACGUGCGGUGGCUUGGGCACACGCAGGCUCCGUGUUGCCCAAAUGGUCCGCCCGCUGCCUCCCCACCAGCUGUAGGGCAGCUGAGUUGGAGGAGGCAGGCAGACUCUGGAGACCCCGCAGUGCUCCCCGCCCCUAUGGGUGGCUUGCCCUGCCCUCGCCCCACCCCUGGGCACUCUGCCCCAGGCGCCCAAGCAGCUUCCUCUGCUGCUGCUGCUACCACUGCUAUUGCUUACAUGAACAUGAGUGGUGUCUUGCAAAGCUCAUAAGCAGGCAUAGGCAAACUCGGCCCUCCAGAUGUUUUGGGACUACAACUCCCAUCAUCCCUAGCGAACAGGACCAGUGGUCAGGGAUGAUGGGAAUUGUAGUCUCAAAACAUCUGGAGGGCCGAGUUUACCUAUGCCUGCUCAUAAGCAUGGCAGGUCCAAUCCAAAUGUCAACAUGGGGAAGAAGAAUCAUAGAAUCAUAGAAUCAUAGAGUUGGAAGAGACCACAAGGGCCAUCGAGUCCAACCCCCUGGCAAGCAGGAAACACUAUCAGAGCACUCCUGACAUAUGGUUGUCAAGCCUCUGCUUAAAGACCUCCAAAGAAGGAGACUCCACCACACUCCUUGGCAGCAAAUUCCACUGUUGAACAGCUCUUACUGUCAGGAAGUUCUUCCUAAUGUUUAGGUGGAAUCUUCUUUCUUGUAGUUUGGAUCCAUUGCUCCGUGUCCGCUUCUCUGGAGCAGCAGAAAACAACCUUUCUCCCUCCUCUAUGUGACAUCCUUUUAUAUAUUUGAACAUGGCUAUCAUAUCACCCCUUAACCUCCUCUUCUCCAGGCUAAACAUGCCCAGCUCCCUUAGCCGUUCCUCAAGAGAUUUCUAGCUGCUUGGAGCAGCUGCUUGCUGGGGUCAAGAAAAUGUUUUUAGCAAAAAAAUAUAUCUGGAAAUGGUAGCAGUUUAUGCCACGCAACCAGUUGUGGAGAGAAAAUGCUGGUUUUCCCAUGUACCAUCACAGGGCAGAUUAGGCUGAAAUAGCUCAUGCUUGCUGCCCCAACCACACCUUUAUUUGAUGGUGGGUCAGUGGUGGGGUACAUUCAUUGCACAGGGGAAAGGUUUUAAAUUCAGUCCAUAGUUUAUGCAGGUAGGGUCUGAGAAGACUCCUGUGUGGAAAUCUGGACAGCUGAUUUCAGUCCAACUAGGCAAUACCGAACUAAUUGGAAGAUCAACUAGCACAUAAGGCAACACCACCUGCUACCUCUUUCAGGUUCUGUCUAGAUAAUUGCAUGCAAUAUCUAGAUAACAGGCUAUUGACUUCGGGCUGUAACUUCCUUAUGAAUCCUUUCCCAAUUAUCUAGGAAAAUAUUUUCACAAUUAUGCUAAUAUUCAACUGCAGCAAAAACAAAAGCAAAGCACCCACGCCAUGCUGUGACACGUUCCUCUUUGCCCUAUAAGUACAAGGACUACUCUAACAUCUCUACAUCCUGUCAACUCUUGAAACGCUAUCUAAUUUUUCAGCCAUGAAGAUCUUUGCUCUUUUCACAGCUGUUCUCUUCUUUGUGCUGAUGGCUGCUCCAGGUAACAAUAUUUAUUUAUUUAUUUAUUUAUUUAAAAAUACAGUCAAAUCUCGGUUGUCAAACACAAUCCAUUCUGGAAGACAAUUCGAUUUCCGAAAUGUUUGACAACUGAGGCAUGGCUUCUGAUUGCAAGAGCUUCUUGCACUCAAGCAGAAGCCGCGUCGGACGUUCGGGUUCUGAAAAAUGUUCAAAAACCAAAGCAUUUACUUCUGUGUUUUUGGUGUCCGGGAGCCGAAACGAUGAAAAACAGAGCCGUUCAAGAACUGAGGUUUGACCGUACAGUGGUACCUCGUUUUGAGUCCGGGUUCCGUUCCAGAGCCCUGGACGCUCAGGGAAAGGGACUCUCGACAAUUAUCCGCUCUGCGCACAAGCGUGAACAGUUUUGUGCUUUUGCGCAUGCGUGAAGCGUGAUUUAGCGCUUCUGAUUCAGCGCUUCUGCAUGUGUGCAAGUGGCAAACCCGGAAGUAACCCAUUUUGGUACUUCCAGGUUUGCUGCGGAUGUUCCACGAAAUGCUCCAGUGCUCCAGCCACAGCCCCUUCCAUUAAGUUGGCUACAGUCCUAUUGCCACCCACCAGCUGAGUCUGCUAUUAGCAGGAAUGACAAUGAGAACACAACUUGUUCUUUCUUUUGCUACAGCACUUGCGCAGACGUCAGAGGCAGAAUGUCGCAGGAUGGGUGGCAGCUGCCAUAAUGGCUUUUGCCCAAUAGGCAAAAUUCACAAGGGACAUUGUGGUAACCCAAAAAGAUGGUGCUGCAGAAGAUAGGUAAGAAUUCUAGAUGUAUCUCCUGCCCUGCUGUCAGGAUUGUUUUGUCCUUUGGUUCUUUUUAUCUAAACCAAUUUGGAGAAGUCCCAGUCCAAGCCAAAACCCGGGCUGGCUUUUAAGACAUAUUAAUGUAUCUGGCUGGGACACGGGUGGCCCUGUGGUUUAAACCAGAAGACUAGGGCUUGCCAAUCAGGUUGGCUGUUUGAAUCUCCGCAACGGGGUGAGCUCCCGUUGCUCGGUCCCUGCUCCUGCCAACCUAGCAGUUCGAAAGCACGUCAAAGUGCAAGUAGAUAAAUAGGUACUGCUCCGGCAGGAAGGUAAACGGUGUUUCUGUGUGCUGCUCUGGUUCGCCAGAAGCUGCUUAGACAUGCUGGCCACAUGACCCGGAAGCUGUAUGCUGGCUCCCUCGGCCAAUAAAGUGAGAUGAGCGCCGCAACCCCAGAGUCGGUCACGAGUGGACCUAACAGUCAGGGUCCUUUACCUUAAUGCAUCCGGCAGGAGAAUAAGAAUAGCAUAUUUGUAUACAGAACACAAUAAGUAGGAAUACUGCUGGCCAGAGUGAAAAAAUAGCUUGGCAUGUUCUUGUGUCUGUUACACAUGCCUGAUCUGUAGAAGUUGCUGGGGCCAAGAAAUGACUCACCCAGAACUUCUACAUGCUUCUUCAUAGGCUGUUAGGUUCCCACCUCAAUUCCAUCCAUCCUGGAAGAGCCUAUGAACUUGGCCCACUGUGUGCUGGUGAUGCUUUCUAAAAUGCUGAGCUGUACCAUAGAGGCUGAGUCUGUCACCUGGGCAACUCUCUUCCUCUCCUGUUCUUCUGUUUAUGAUAUGCAGGAAAGCAAAAUGGUCCAAAUCAUUGUGAAAUAGUUAAUAUAGAAAUGGAGGUGCUUUCAAGACUUUUCCAAGGGAUAGUUUCCCCUCCAAACCCCACUUCUGCCCCAGUAUUUCUUCCAGGCCCUGCUAUGGCUUAGCAUUUGCAGUUGCUGAUGCUUUCCUUAGGAAAUACAUGCUAACAUCCAGCUUUUUUGAAAGAAAUCCGGGCUACCUGAAGACUGGUCUUCUAGUUAUGAUCUGUAACAGAAGAGGAAGACAAAAUGGUCUAGAUCAUUGUGACAUAGUUAAUAUAGGAACUGAGGUGCUUUGGGGACUUUUCCAGGAGACAGUUCACAUCUCCAAACCCCAGUUUUGUUCUAGUUUUUCUACCAAGUUCUGCUGUGGCUCAGAAUUUGCAGUUGCUGAUAGUUUCCUUAGGAAUCGCAUGCUAACAUCGAGGGUUUUUCUGCAAAAAAACAACACAAAACCUAGGUUACAUGAAGAAUAGUGGAAAUAAAACAAUCAGAAUGAAUUGCUUUGGUGUUACUAAGCUUGACAAGAGCAGAGCCAUAGGGAAGCUUUAAAAAAUGCAAUUGGCCUUCUAAUAUUGGCAUCAUGUAUUAUGUUAGGAGGAGAGUUGGGUUCAGAUCACUGGUGUAUUUCAAGUUACUCUGUAUUUUUCUCUAAUAAAUUUUAUUAAGAUUCACAGAGAAAAAUACAAAACUUAAUAUCCUUUCCCCCUUUUUUAACCACACCAAGACUAUCUAAAUACAGUAAAAACACAAAAAGGGGGAAGGAGAGACAAAGAAAGAAACAGAGGAGAAAAGAGGUUAAAAGAGAAAGGUAGAAAAAAAUAAGAUUCGGAAAAGAAGGAACUUCUGAUUUUUCAUCUGUCCACUAUUAAAAUAUAUGUAUUCACUACAUCCAAUCCAAUAUACCACCCAUCAAAGUUAAGUCAGUAUUUUUAAGGGGCAAACAACAAAUUAUCAUGCUCAGAACCUAUUCAAGUCAGGAAAGGCCAAUCUGUUUCUCCAGAUGUUGCCAGCCUACAGAUCUCCCUCACCCCUGAUCCCUUGCCAUACUGGCUGUUGGGGCCAAUGGGAGGUGGGCUCCCACAACAUCUGGCGAGCCACAGCAUGAUUUAAAGGACAAGCCCCAUACCAAUGUAUUUCUCCUCUUUUUCUUUAUAUUAAAAUCUGUGUUUGUGUUUUGCAUCUGAAUGUGUUCAGCUUUUUAUUCAUGAUUAUCUAUGUAAUACAGCAUUAAAAACUGCAGAAUCUGACAAUGUUCUCUCUUUCGCACAGAUAACGUCAGGAUGUUGGCUGCGUUACAUCUAUAGCCUGAACAUUUUCAUGGCCUCUGCAACCCGCUUCGCUACGCUUUUGCGCUUUUAAUGGAGCUGAUUCUCUGGUGGUUGUUUUCCUUCUUCUGCUAAUUAAAAAUCAUGCAUUUGAGCACCUAUGUUCUUUGUGUCUCUGUGUCUCUGUGCAUUCCCACAGCUGAAUAAGCGACUUUAUUUCAAAGCGCCUUGGAGAAACUCUUCCACACAGAUGUCCUGUUCACUUUUCAGGCAGAAAACACAUCUGCUGUCCUGCUCACCCAAUUUAAAAAGGCACAGGGUUUGCCCUUCUUUUUACCUGCCUUGCAGUGCAGACCCAGAAGUCUGUACAUUGUACCAUUUCUUCUGAUUUAUUAAAAAAAACCACAUAAACAUAAAUAUCUUUAAACUAAAUUAAAAUAAAGUAAAAAGGCAUUUGAAGUGACUGUUCUGACAUUAUAUUUUCAACCCCUUUCCCCCAUCAUCGACUUUACCAUUUUUCAAAGUUAUUGAAAACUGGGUUGAGUUCUCCAGAACCACUCCAAAGUCUCUAUCUGGAUUACAAGCAGGGAGCAUAUUCCCAUCAGUAUAUAUGUGAAAUUGAGUGGAGGGGAAGUCACUCCUAUUAUUAUUAUUAUUAUUAUUAUUAUUAUUAUUAUUAUUUUAUUUAUACCCCACCCAUCCAGCUAGGUUUCCCCAGUCACUCUGGGCACCUUCCAACAGAAUAUUAAAAACACAAUAAAACAAAACAUUAAAAACGUCCCUAAACAAAGCUGCCUUCAGAUGUCUUCUAAAAGUCAGAUACUUGUUUAUUUCCUUGACAUCUGAUGGAAGGGUGUUCCACAGAGCAGGCACAACUACCGAGAAGGCCCUCUGCCUGGUUCCCUGUACUUUCACUUCUUGCAGGGAGGGAACUGCCAGAAGACCCUCAAGUUGGACCUCAGUGUCCGGGCAGAACGAGGGGGGUGGAGACACUCCUUCAGGCAUACUGGGCUGAGGCCAUUUAGGGCUUUAAAGGUCAGCACCAACACUUUGAAUUGUGCUUGGAAACAUACCGGGAGCCAGUGUAGGUCUUUCAGCAACAGUGGGGCACCCAACAGGAUGGUUGUGAUGUGCCUCUGAAUAUCAGUAGCUGGGAAUCAUAGGGAAUCAGAGUUCUGUUGAGCUCAUGUCCAGCUUGCAGACUUCCCAUGGGCACCUAGCUGACCACUGCGAGGACAGAAUGCUAGACUAGGAGGGCCAAUGGCCUGAUCCUGCAGGCUUCCCUUAUGAAACCGGAUGAGGCUUUUCCAAGGGAUAGUUUCCCCUCCAAACCCCAAUUCUGCCCCAGUAUUUCUUCCAGGCCCUGCUAUGGCUUAGCAUUUGCAGCUGUUGAUGCUUUCCUUAGGAAACACAUGCUAAUAUCCAGCUUUUUUGAAAGAAAUCUGGGCUACCUGAAUACUGGCAGAAAUCAGAAAUCAGAAUGAAUUGUUUUUGGUCAUGCUAAGCUUAACAAGUGCAGAACCAGUGAGAAGCUAAAGCCUUUCAAUCACUACCCCCCCAUCAAAAAAAUUUAUUGGCCUUGACAUAGUGUAUUAAGUUUAGAGGAGGGGUCUAUACAAAUUUCAAGUUAUUCUGUAUCUUUAAUGAGGAAACAACAAAUUCUGCUGGUGAAAACGUAUUCAAAGCAGAAGAGGCUGAUCUGUGUUCUUCCAGAUGUUGCCAGUUUCCAACUCUUCCAUCACCCUUGUCCCCCUGCCAUGCUGGCUGUUGGGGCCAUCGGGAGGAAGAGUCUAACAACAUCUGGCAGGCUAGAAGAUCCCCAUCUCAUUUUAAGGAUAAAUAACGUAUCAAUAUAGGGAUGAGGGUGUUGCUGUGGGUUAAACCACAGAGCCUAGGGCUUGCUGAUCAGAAGAUCGGCGGUUCGAAUCCCCGCGACGGGGUGAGAUCCCAUUGCCCAGUCCCUGCUUCUGCCAACCUAGCAGUUCGAAAGCAUGUCAAAGUGCAAGUAGAUAAAUAGUUACCACUCCGGCGGGAAGGUAAACGGUGUUUCCAUGCACUGCUCUGGUUCGCCAGAAGCGGCUUAGUCAUGCUGGCCACAUGACCUGGAAGCUGUACGCUGGCUCCCUCGGCCAAUAAAGCGAGAUGAAUGCCGCAACCCCAGAGUCGGUCACGACUGGACCUAAUGGUCAGGGGUCCCUUUACCUUUACCUUAAUGUAUCAAUAUAUUUCCCCUCUUUCUCUUUGUAUUUAAAUAUGUGUUUGUGUUUUUGAGAUGUAUGCGUUCAGCUUUUUAGUCCUGAUUAUCUAUGUAAUACAACAUUAAAAACUGCAGAAUCUGACAAUGUUUUUUCUUUUUGGUGCAGAUAACCUCAAGAUGUUGUCUACUCACCAUGGAUUUAGGGUAGCUUGAACAUUUGAUGGUAAUGCUCUUCUGAUUUGCCUCCAGCUUUUAAUGGAGCUGAUUCUAUGGUGAUAGUUAAAUAAAAAUAAUUAAAGACAAUAUAUUUGAGCAUCUAUGUUUUUUGUGUGUCUGUGUAUUGAAGAAGUAGAUUGUCAAAGAGAUCUUUUCGGGGUGCAGAUGUAGAGAAAUUCACACUUCUCUGAAUAUUGCAAUGUGGUUUUCUUGCUGAGUUAUGUCUACAAAAAAUGCAGUUAUUAGGGAAAAUUGCACUGCAAGGAUGUCUAUAUUAGACAAGAUUACAUACAGAAAUCUGCAUAGUGGGGAAAAUGCGCAUUUAAAUGCUGAUGGAUUUUCAUGAGGACGUUUAAGAAAUGCAAAGCAGUUUGGAGAACUGAUCUUAAGAUAAGGAAAAUGAGCAACUGAGGAAAACUGAAAUUAAUAGAUGCAGGCUAAUGACAAUUGUGGUCUCAACCAUUUUGAGGGUGUCACAUUGCCUACUCCAAUUGAAGGCACCAGCAGGUUGCCACCUUCCAAAAAAACAACCCCAAACAUCUUUGUUGUUAGGAACAAUACUUUAGCUUUAUAGAAGCCUUUGCUAAUUGCUCAGAGGAUAUACACAGAAUCUCAUAAUACUGAAAAAAAAACCUUGCAGGGGAGGCUAAAAAUUAUAGCAACCACAUCAGGCAGUUAAACCCUGGAACAUAGAUGGGUGUUGGGGAUGUUUGAGACUAACAAAUAAUAGCUUUAGCCAGGUCAGUUCAUGGCUUAACUGAUAUUUGGAUUCAGGACAACCUACAUAUAAUUCAUGGCCGUAACCUCUAUGUUACAAAAUAGCCAAUGCAGCUGGCUUCACAAUUCGGGAUUGGAAGAGGGCAAGGUGGGUUUGUUGACACCUUGUUGCCUCACAAGAAGGACUUUGCAACUAAACUGACAGUUGGCUCCAUAUACAGUGGUACCUCUGGUUACGAACUUAAUUCGUUCCAGAGGUCCGUUCUUAACCUGAAACCAUUCUUAACCUGAGGUACCACUUUAGCUAAUGGGGCAUCCCUCUGUCACCGCAUGAUUUCUGUUCUCACCCUGAGGUAAAGUUUUCAACCCGAGGUACUACCUCCGGGUUAGCGGAGUCUGUAACCCGAAGUGUUUGUAACCCAAGGUGUUUGUAACCCUAGGUACCACUGUAUGCCCCAAGCUCAAACCAACUUGAGUUUUUAAAAAAGGAAACUCUUUUUAAAAUGCUGGACAUUUAAAUGCUGGACAUUUUUCAAAAUCCCCCCCCGGCUCUCUUCUUCACCCCCCCAUUUUCAUUUCACUUUAAAUUUUCACGCCGUCUUUCCGUACUGCGAUACACAAGGCGAUUCUCAAGUUGAAGAAACAACGAAACAGACAGCGAAGAUCACACACCUGAUAACGGUCUGAUCGAAUUCAAAGAAGUCAUAAUAAAAGCAUAACUUUGAAAUAAACAACUUAUAUCAAAUAAAAGAAUAUUCAACAAUCCAUUAGAAUGUAAUAGUAAAUAGACACUGCCCUCCUCCAGAGAAAUAUCCUGGCACAAUGGCUCAGUCAUAGCCUGAAGGGUUACAGGGUGUUGUUUUUCUUCAGCUUGAUUUCCAAAUAUGCAAAGCAGUGCUCACUUUCCUGGCAUAUACUCCCGUGGUGAAAUGAUUAUGAUUUUGAAAUAAUCCCAUCAAAUGCAUUCAAGGGCAGGUUGAACAUUUCAAUAGAGGGAGGAGAGAGACUCAUGCUGCUUUCUCCUGCAUGUAUAUCUUGUUUACCUGCCUGACAGAAGCAAUAUAUAAUGCCAUAAUCUUCUAAUUAAAGCCCAAGCAGCUGCAGACAUCUGUAUGACUCACCUAACACUUCAUCCUCAACAUCGAUUUCCACUUAUAAGAAUUAGGUCCCAUGCCCUAACAUAACUCAGACUAUAGCUAAGCCUAGGGAUGUGUGUAUUUGCCAAUUUCAGUUCUCUUAGUUGCAUUUUAAGUUUGGUUUGCUGCAUUUCUGCAUAUAUUUGCCUUAAAAAAAAAAUCUUCAUGGAGAUUUGUACAGUUUUGUGUUUCUUCUAACAGAUGAUUUUUUUGUACACAUUUUUUUGCCUGGUAUGCACAUUCUCGCAAGCAAUUUCCCCACCUUUAAAGCCCUAUACGGCCUAGGACCCUCGUACCUACGGGAUCGCCUCUCCUGGUAUGUCCCACGGAGGACCUUACGGUCUUCAAACAAAAACAUAUUGGCGAUCCCGGGCCACAGAGAAGUUAGACUGGCCUCAACCAGAGACAGGGCUUUUUCGGCUGUGGCUCUGAUCUGGUGGAACGCUCUGCCACAAGAGAUUAGGGCCCUGCAGGACUUGACAUCUUUCCGCAGGGCCUGCAAGACAGAGCUGUUCCACCAGGCCUUUGGCCAGGGCACAGCCUGUCUCCCUCCUUUGGCAGUCUUCACAGAACUCUAUCCCAAUGGUUGCCAUCAAUUUGAUUUGAAGUAAUUUUUUAAUGAAAUGAUUUUAGAAUGUUGCAUUAUUUUAUUGUUGUUAGCUGCCCUGAGCCCAGCUUCGGCUGGGGAGGGUGGGAUAUAAAUAUAUUAUUAUUAUUAUUAUUAUUAGCGAAUAAUUCACUAAUGUGUGAAUAAUGCACGUUUUUGUAGUCUACUUUUGCAGCAGACCAUUUGGAGACCUGCUGUGAUGAGCUCUUGAGACGCUUUGACGGGAAUAAAGGCCUUUGACUUCAUAAAAAUCUCGAUGCCAUGAUUUCCUAGUUUAGGUGGCCGGAAGUUGCUGGCCAGCAUCCAAUCCCUAGCAAGGAAUUAGGUGUGUUGUGCUGCAGGGGGUACAAUGUGUACACAGUAUCUUCAGUUGCAUAGACUCCUGGAGCCUGUUCCAGUGAACAUGCAAAUAUUGGGACUGAGCUCCCACCCACUGUGCCACUGACAGCUGGAACUAACCACCGGAUAGGACAUCACCAUACCCAUAUUGCCUAAAUAAUGUACACAUUAAGGACAUGGCCCUUAACAGCCGUAGUUUCCUGGUACAUACUGGAGUUGCAGUAAAUGAAGAACAAAACAUGUUCAAUUGGAAAGGCAUUUGAGAGUCCGGGAUGAACAAGUGACUUACAGGAAGAGGAGUAAAGCCUUCAUCCAGCAAAUCAGGAUGAACGCAGGAUAUGAAAGCUCAUUGUCAUACAACCACUCUGCUAAUAAAUCAAAAUGAAUGCUCAACCAAGACCAGGUUAUCAGACUAUUUGGGUGUCCUUUUAAUCAUAAAUUCAUGAUGUUCUGUGCUCAGGGUGGAACCAGGGCAAUUAUAUGUGACGCUGCUUUCAGGGCUGUUCACGUCAGUAAAAAUUUAAGGGGGAAAUGCUGUGUUGUUUCCAAUCAGUUCCAAUCAGUUGUUUCCAACCCUGUGGCUUCUUGCCUGUUACUUUCCAUACCACAAAUGCAUACCCUCCAAGUGUCCUGAUUUUCCAGGGAGUGCUGAGAUUACGAAAGCUGUCCUCCCGGCUUCUGAUUUGAUCCCGGAAUGUCCCUAUUUCCCCUGCUAGCGCCAGUGCCCCAGAGCUCAAGGAGGAGGAUGGAUCAGCGCUUGUUGUGGGUGGCGGCUGUAGUGGCCGCAGCUGUGAGGGAGCCUCCCGUUGCCUCUCCUUGGCCUCUUCUGAUGGCCUCUUCCCUUGGGCAGAUCAUAGUGGCUGCUGGACCGCAGGAGAGGAGAAGGAGAGGUUGUGACUGCCAAGGACCAGUCCUGCAUGAUGCUCUGGCUCUGAAGGGCAGGCAGAGGUAGUGGAGUCAUCAUUAAAACCAAAAACCAAAAAUCGCUUUGUGUGUCUGUGUCCAAUCUUGCCCCACUUGAGAAUUUAUGCACUGAGGAAUAUCGAAACAAGAAACAACUAGAGAAUGGAUAAUAUUUAAGAAUUAUGUAAAACUUUAUUGUACAAAUAACUCCAUAUUAGCAGAAAUUGAGUGAUAUUUGUAAAGAAAAAGAUCAAAGCAGAGAGAAAUGAUAUUAUAUAAUGUAAACCUGUGUUUAAAAAGAAUGUUAUAUCAAACAUAAUGAGAAGGAUGGGAAGAAUUGUGUCGAUGAGUACUUUUACUAUGUAAAUAACUUUGUCUUUUUUAUUAUUUGUUUCAUAUCUUUGUUACUUCUUUAUUUUAUCUUUUUCUCUUUCUUUAUAAAUUUUCUAUUUUAUAUCAUUUUCUUUUUUCUACCUGUUAAGAGAUAGUACAUAAUGUUUGUAUAGACAUGCAAAUAUUUUAAUCAACAAAGAAUAUUAAUAAUAAUAGUAAUAAUUUAUGCAUUGAUGUGUGUCUUUCUUUCGAAAUAAUUUUUAUUAAAGAUGUCCUCGGGUUACAAAAGUGCAUGCAUCACCUCUAUUUUCAUGUCUUUUCAACAAGAUCAGUUACAUUUGGCGUGAGACAUUAAUGUUGGAUACAGUAUAAGAUUGGGGGAGAAGAGAGAUGGGGGUUCACUGAGGGGUGGAGGGCAUGUGCUCUGUGCCCCGUUGGUGUACUGGCGGUGGCACUUGCCCUCCCUCUGGUAGGAAAUGCUCUGUAGGAGGGGCUGGGGGGACAGAAAAAAGGGGAGGGGUCAAUGAGAGUCAGAUGGAGGGGGGGAGUGAGAAUGCGAGGGGUGGAGCAGAGGCAGAAAAACAGACAUCGAAAGGAUCGCAUACCCUCCCUAUUUUGACCUAAGGAAGGCUGGAGGUUAUGAAAAUGUUCCAGGGAGUUGUUGUUGUCAUGAAGUAGUGAUUCUGUCAGCAAGUAUCGCUGGGUGGGGCCCCUCAGGUAGGUGGUAACAAUUAGUCCCCAAAAUGGGAACAGAUGAUGAUGAUGAUGAUGAUGAUGAUAAUUUACUUGUACCCCCACCUAUCUGGCUGGGUUUCCCCAGCCACUCUGGGCAGCUUCCAACAAAGAUUUGUUGUUUAGUCAUUUAGUUGUGUCCGACUCCUCGUGACCCCAUGGACCAGAGCAUGCCAGGCACUUCUGUCUUCCACUGCCUCCCGCAGUUUGGUCAAACUCAUGCUGGUGGCUGCGAGAACACUGUCCAACCAUCUUGUCCUCUGAUAUCCCCUUCUCCUUGUGCCCUCCAUCUUUCCCUCCAUCUUUCCCAAAGGAAAGGACCGGACCCUGAUUAAAAUAAGACACGAGGCUUUGACCGGCAAGGCUCUCGGAGGAAGUGCGUAAAACCACACCCCUAACCAGGCCAUUUUAUUAACAAAAGAAUCCUUCACACAGUGCUCGUGAGAACCAAUCAUAUUUCCUCUGAGCAUUUCAUCAAGCCCCAUGUGGGAACAAAGUUACACUACAGCAGUAAUUAGCAUGCAUACCCUGCAGGUGAGAAAUAUACAUGAUAAGAAGGAUGGCCAGAAAGACAGGAUCAUUAUCACCUUCAUGUGAGAUCUGUUUCCUGGCUCCAAGAUUAACAUCUUGAGAUUAACAUAUUAGAAAAGCUACAUCGAAGAAACUGCCCAUAGUCUUAGAUGACCCAGGACGCCUGCCUGUCUGUCAGUGUACGUGACUUGUCAAGAAAGAGAAAUGGAACAGGGAUGCAGAGGUGUGGAUUGAUCAAGAAUCAUAUCAAAAUAGUUUAAACCCAGUCAACGCAAUGCUUUCAUUGCUGACACAGAUGGCUUACUCUAUAUUUGUUAUAAUUCCUCAUAGCAAUCCCACCUGAUCACUACAAACAUCAGGGUCUUUUCCAGGGAGUCUUCUCUUCUCAUGAGGUGGCCAAAGUAUUGGAGCCUCAGCUUCAGGAUCUGUCCUUCCUGUGAGCACUCAGGGCUGAUUUCCUUAAGAAUGGAUGCGUUUGAUCUUCUUGCAGUCCAUGGGACUCUCAAGAGUCUCCUCCAGCACCAACAAAGAUUAAGAAUACAUUAAAAUCAGGCUGCCAGCCUUCCGUGGCCCCAUAAAUCUUCGAGUUAACUUGCCAAGAGGAGGGAGAGAGCACGUCGUAGAUUAGACUGCCGUUUGAUGUCUGUAGCUGGUGCCAGAGAAGAACUCAGUAAAGCCUGAUAACCCGUUCGGUGCCUAUGUGUGUUAUUAGAAGCUUGAAGGGGCGGCUCAGGAAAGCGAUCUCCUACUUGACAGUCCCCCCCCCCCCAUUUUUGUUGUGCUGGAAUCUCGCCUCCAGAUGGUAGCAUUGCCAUCGCACUGAAAGACGACUUGAGGCAAACCGAAAUAUGGGUCUUCUGUUCUGGAAGACCAUUCAACUUGCAAAACGUUUGACAAUCAAGGUGCGGCUUCCAAUUGGUUGCAAGAGCUUCUUGCACUCAAGCGGAAGCUGUGACAGACGUUUGGGUUCCAAAAAAUGUUUGAAAACCGGAGCAUUUACAUCUGGCUUUUUGGCGUUCAGGAGCCAAAACGUUUCAAAAUGAAGCCGUUCGUGAACCGAGGUUUGACCGUAACAGGUUAUACUUAUUAAAACAUUAAAAGAGGAUCUGUUGAUCAACAUAAAGAAACCUAUUGCCCAAUCAAACAAGUCUGGGCAAGUGAGCUGGGGUAAUAGGCUGAUCUAAGCAAUCCCAUUUCAUGACGCAUGCAGCAAGGUUUGACAAAUAAGCCAAUCAUAACAUGUAACAUGGCCCAGCUGACCCACAUUCACCCUGAUGCACCUGACAGGCCAAAGCCCAAACCAGCUCAGAUAUUAAUCUGAUACUUUCUUAAAUCUACCCAGCUACCCAGACUAAAUGUCAAGAAGCCAAAUUCUUAAGCACCACUCCAGUCAUACAGACAACAGUGUAAAGUUGGCAAAAAAAGAGGAGACAUAGGCUGAUUGGUGUCCCUCCCCAAAAUUCCCCCACCGCCAAAGGCAAUUAGCAAAGCCCAUACAGCUGGUGGCGCUGUGGGUUAAACCACAGAGCCUAGGACUUGCUGAUCAGAAGGUCGGCAGUUCGAAUCCCUGCAACGGGGUGAGCUCCCAUUGCUCAGUCCCUGCUCCUAGCAGUUCGAAGCAUGUCAAAGUGCAAGUAGAUAAAUAGGUACAGCUCCGGCGGGAAGGUAAAUGGCGUUUCCGUGCGCUGCUCUGGUUCGCCAGAAGCGGCUUAGUCAUGCUGGCCACAUGACCCGGAAGCUGUACGCCGGCUCCCUUGGCCAAUAAAGCAAGAUGAGCUCUGCAACCCCAGAGUUGGCCACGACUGGACGUAAUGGUCAGGGGUCCCUUUACCUUUAUACAGCUAGAACAGGAGAGUGGGUGUCACAAGUAGAAGGGUGAAUGCAGUGUAGAGAGGCUUAAAUUCUGGAAGUAUAAGGUGGAAUGAUGCAUGGAUGGUCCUGUAUAAACCCACCACCAAUGAACUAUUGACAUGUUGCAGGAUAUAUCUGCAAAGAAACCAAAACCAAAGCCAAUGUAGAGGGGCCAAUACUCGAAACUCGGCUUUGUGCAAGCAAAUCUGCAUGGUUGUUGAAUGAAUGAGUCAGCUGGAGGGACCAGGAAAGAAACUAAAGUUGACCAAUUUAGACCCCCCUCCCUCCCAUCCUUUGCAUUCUGUUGUAGUGUGUGUGUGGGGAGGGGAGUUGUGGGGGAGAUGGGAAUGAUAUGCAAGGGCCCUAACCAAGAGCAGGGAGUGGGUGAGAAGAGAUCUCCCCUGGGGGUGGGGAAGAAACACGAUCUAGUUCAAUUUCUGAUUUGGUUAAGCAACCGACCAAAAUGUUACCAGUUGUUCUGCUUAAGGUGAAUCCUUACAUCCCUUUGGGCUAUGAAAGAGAAGAAAAGCAGGUUCUUUGGCAAGUGUUCCUUGUGGUUACUGGCUGCUGCUGGUGGAAAGCUAUGCUUAGCACAGGUGAUGACCAGGUAAGGGGCUAUUGGCAAGCUUGCAUUGAAAGGUUCGCUCAGAGUCUGAAAUGAUGGUCACCAUUCAUCCUUGUUGUUGUUGUUGUUUAGUCGUUUAGUUGUGUCCGACUCUUUGUGACCCCAUGGACCAGAGCAUGCCAGGCACUCCUGUCUUCCACUGCCUCCCGCAGUUUGGUCAAACUCAUGCUGGUAGCUUCGAGAACACUGUCCAACCAUCUCAUCCUCUGUCAUCCCCUUCUCCUUGUGCCCUCAGUCUUUCCCAACAUCAGGGUCUUUUCCAGGGAGUUUUCUCUUCUCAUGAGGUGGCCAAAGUAUUGGAGCCUCAGCUUCAGGAUCUGUACUUCCAGUGAGUACUCAGGGCUGAUUUCCUUCAGAAUUGAUAGGUCUGAUCUUCUUGUAGUCCAUGGGACUCUCAAGAGUCUCCUCCAGCACCAUAAUUCAAAAGCAUCAAUUUUUCGGCGAUCAGCCUCCUUUAUGGUCCAGAUCUCACUUCCAUACAUCACUACUGGGAAAACCAUAGCUUUCACUAUAUGGACCUUUGUUGGCAAGGUGAUGUCUCUGCUUUUUAAGAUGCUGACUAGGUUUGUCAUUGCUCACCAUUCAUCUAUGUCUGCUUUUAAAUAUUAAAGGCUAACAAGAUGUUAACCACUUGUUAUCUCAUGUGGAUGAGAACUGCUGUUCUUGUUACUGCUGCUACUACCAAUAAUACUGCUGCUACAACGCCAACAUGAACGGGGCCUUACACAGCUCAGGUCCCUAACCUGAGAAGCUUCCAAUCCAAAUAUCAACAUGGAGAAGAUGAAAUUUCUAUCUGCUUGGAGCAGCUGGAAAGGGAGGUGCUUGGCAAAAUAUUUGUGUGUGUUUGUGUGUCUGUGCGCACAAAAAACCCCCUCUGGAAAUUGCCUCCAUUUAUGCCAUGUGACCACUUCCUGCAUUGAGAGAAAAAGAUGGCUGCCCCCAAUUUACGAUUAUGGUGCAGAAUCAGGAGAAAUGGACUUUAGGCUGAAAUGGCUUCUGCCUCCCACACAUACCUUUGUUAGAUGGUGGAACUGCAGGUCAGUGGUGGAAUACAGUCUCUGCCGUGUCUUAGUUCUCCAAAGGACCUUUGACCAUGGGUAGGCAAACUAAAGCCUGGGGGCCGGAUCCGGCCCAAUCGCCUUCUAAAUCCGGCCCGCGGAUGGUCAGGGAAUCUGCAUGUUUUUACAUGAGUAGAAUGUGUUCUUUUAUUUAAAAUGCAUCUCUGGAUUAUUUGUGGGGCAUAGGAAUUCGUUCACAUUUUUUUUUUUUAAAUAUAGUCCGGCCCCCAACAAGGUCUGAGUGACAGUGGACCGGCCCCCUGCUGGAAAAAUUUGCUGACCCCUGCCAUAGACCCUGGUUGAGUGCCUGGAACUCCUUGGAAACGUGCUGCAGCUCAGCAGAGAGUGCGUGUGGCACCUAACUUUUGUAACAAUAUGCUGCCUUGUCUCCAUGCCCUAUCUAGAUAAUUACACGUAAUGAUAUUUUAUAAUAUUGUUUUUGUGCAUGAGGAUAGUUAAUUACAUUUAAGGUCAAUAACUGGCUGUCGUAUUGGGGCUAUGCGUUCCCUAGAAAUACUUUCCAAGUAACUAGGGAUAUACUUGCAUAAUAAUAUCAUCAUUAUAUUGCAGCAACCCACAACAAGCAGCACCCACAAGAUCUUCAUGCCAUGAUAUGAACACUCCCCUUUGCCCUAUAAAUACAAGGACCUUUCAAGCACCUCUCCAUCCUGCCGUCUCCUGACACCCCAUUCAAUUGUUCAAUCAUGAAGAUCUUUGCCUUCCUUACAGCUGUUCUCUUCUUCGUGCUGAUGGCUGCUCCAGGUGAGUUUUCAAUUGACGAUCUCUGAAUGUGGACUUCGGGAGGGUAUGUAGCUGCUGCUUCCGUGCUCUGCUACAUGGUGGACCACCAAUGGGCUCCUAGAUGUCCCAUCAGCCUCAGUCAGCAUAGCCACAGUCCAGUCCGGGAGGUUGGGAGGUUGGGAGAGUCCAGCAGCAACUGGAGGCCCAUAGAUUGCCUGUACCUGCUCUAUAGGAACCAGGCUAGUAAGUAAUAUUUCCAUGUCUUAGAUAGGGAGCCCUUACUCCCAUGAGGACAGUCCCAGGAGAUCAACAUUCUCAAGCUCAAGCAUGCCUUACAGUUAAUAAAUGACCACUCUUUCACCAUUGUGCAUAAGACAAAUCUUGCAUUUUCCUAGUUCUGUAAACCACCCAGAGUGUAGCGCUUUGAUUGAUUGAUUGAUUGAUUUGAUUUAUAUACUGCCCUGCAUCAUAAGAUCCCAGGGUGGUUCACAGAAUAAAAUACAGGAUAAAAACAAGUAAAUAAUUAAAAUCAAACCAGCAAAACAAUAAGCCUUCCCCUUCCCUCAUGUCCAUUUAAAAGGUUGUAGGAUAUUAAUCAGCCAAAGGCCUGGUUGAAGAUGAUCGUUUUUGCCUGGUGCCUAAAACUACAUGUUGUUGUUUAGCCGUUUAGUCGUGUCCGACUCUUCGUGACCCCCUGGACCAGAGCACGCCAGGCACUCCUGUCUUCCACUGCCUCCCGCAGUUUGGUCAAACUCAUGCUGGUAGCUUCGAGAACACUGUCCAACCAUCUCGUCCUCUGUCAUCCCCUUCUCCUUGUGCCCUCCAUCUUUCCCAACAUCAGGGUCUUUUCCAGGGAGUCUUCUCUUCUCAUGAGGUGGCCAAAGUAUUGGAGCCUCAGCUUCAGGAUCUGUCCUACAUAAUGUCCUACAAAACUACAUAAUGAGGUCAAAACCAGCAUUUUGAGUUGGGCCCAGAAGCUAAUUAGCAGCCAGUGCAGUCAGGCUAGGAUUAGAGACCCUCCAAGUGUCCCUAUUUUCCAUGGACAUCCCUGAUCUCGACCAUCCGGUUUCUCCUUUGUUCCCAGAAUGUCCCACUUUUCCUUAGGAUGUCCCUAUUUUCCCUGGAGAAAUGUUGGAGGUUAUGGAGUUAUCCAACCCCCGAGCCAUUUGAAGGCAAUCCUGUAAAGGGGAGGUUUUUUUUAUAAAUUUUUUUAAAAUGUUUUAUUAUGUUUUAUGUAUGUUGGAAGCUGCCCAGAGUGGCCUUUCUUCCAAGUUGCUCAAGUGAUCUUCAGGUUAUUGUUUUCUUAUUAGGAAAAAAACCCCUUCUAAUCUGCAUAUGCGUGUGUUGCUGAGAAGUCCCCUGAGUAAGCUUACCAGGGGUCAGCAAAAUUUUUUAGCAGGGGGCUGGUCCACUGUCCCUCAAACUUGUGGGGGGCUGGACUAUAUUUUGAAAAAAAUAUAUGAAUGAAUUCCUAUGCCCCACAAAUAAUCCAGAGAUGCAUUUUCAAUAAAAGCACACAUCCUACUCAUGUAAAAAGACCAGGCAGGCCCCACAAAUAAACCAGAGAUGCAUUUUAAAUUAAAGGACACAUUCUACUCAUGUAAAAACAUACUGAUUCCCGGAUCAUCUGCGGGCCAGAUUUAGAAGGCGAUAGGGCCGGAUCCAGGCCCCGGGCCUUAGUUUGCCUACCGAUGGCUUAAACCAUUCCUGUGUUUGGGGUGGUGGUGGUUUCCAAUAGGGAAGGGGUCACUCAAGUUGACUAUAAGAGGGAAGAUGUGGGGCUUGCACCCACAUGUUACAGGCUGGUGUACACCUGUUCAGUUUUCUGGCCAGCCAGCUAUGGCCCCUUCUAUUAUUUUGGCUACUGUCCUGUUGGCACUCACUAGCUGAGUCUGCUAUUAGCUGGAGUGGUGAUGAAAAUGCAGUUCUUUUCAUAGCUGUCAACUUACAGAUUUGAAAAUAAGGGACCAGCAGCCUUGAAAAUAAGGGACCAGCAGCCAAAAUAAGGGAUUUUAGUCAAUCAGCUGAAAUACGAAUUUAAAAGGGACCAGAUAAUUUUGGAGAGAAGUGCUGGUUUUUAGCUCUUCGUUUCCAGAGGUUGUUGCUCCAGCUGAUCAAACACUGCAAUUAAAUAACUACAAGCAGCAACCACUGUUCGUGCAAAAAUGAAGUCCAAGCUACGAAGAUGCUGCUGCAGUUCUGUAUCUUUUCUCUCGUGCUCCACCUGCAGCUCUCAAUUCCAUCAGGUGGGGCAGGAGGAAGGGGGGGGAAUAGCACCCGAAGUAAACCCGCAGAUCAGACCAUCUAUGCUAGUCUACCAUUACAAAUCUAUGGGAGAAGCGCUUGCGGUCCUUCCCUUGUAGCCCUUGGAACACCUGCCCACGCCUCUGCCUCCUCCUCUUCCUCCUCUCUCUGAACUGCUUUCUCUAUGGUUGCCCUCGCUCUCCUCUCAAGGCUCCUCAGCAAUUCAUAGGCCAUGCGAGGCUGCCCAUUUCAUCCGGGUCCUUCGGCGGCACAGCCGCAGUAUGGCCUAGCAGGAGUGGCAGCGACGAGCAGAGGGGAGGCCCCAGGCAGAGACACUCAGUUCGGCGGCUGCGAGGAGGAUGGCGGCGGAAGGGCCCGAGGCUCCUGCCAGUCCUAGCGGGGAGGGACUCCCAGGGGCUGAGGCUGGUGAGAGGAGGCCGGAGGGGGGCGGGCCAGGUAGCCAAGCAAAACAGUUUGAGCCUCCCUCCUCCCUGGCCGGCAGGGAGGGAGGGAGGGAGAGGAGCUGCUUCCUUUGAAACUCAGGAAAUUUAAGGGACAUCCAUCAGUAAGGGACAGCAGUGGGACAUGGCUCUGGGAUAAGGGACUGUCCCUCCAAAUAAGGGACGCUUGACAGCUAUGGUUCUUUUAUUCCUUUUGGUAUAGCACUCGCGUGGCCAAAGACAUAUGGUGAAUGUCAUCGUGCCCAUGGCAGCUGCCACCAUUCUUGCCCACACCACACACGACAAAUUGGAGAGUGUGCACGCUAUGUACGUUGCUGCAAAUAAGGGGUAAGGAUUCCAGAAAAAGUGUUUGUCCUAUUGUCAACAUUGUUUUGUCUGUUGGUUCUCUCUAUAUAAGCCUGUUUGGAGCAGCCUCAGUACAAGCCAUAAUCUCAGCUGGCUUUUAAUAAAUAUCAAUGUAUCCCACAGGAAAUAAGAGCAGCAUAUUUUUUCCUGUUCAGCACAUGAAAUAUACUCGGAGUCGAGAGUGGAUUUCAUGCUGUUUAUUCAGCUCAUAGUAGUGAGGAGGAAUGAAUGUUCCCCCAAAAUAUCUGCUUUAUAUACAUUAUUUACACAAUGGGCUGCAUGUGAUUGGCUAAUUCUGGGAUUCUCCUGUAGGCCAAUCAGGUUGUGGAUUCUCUUCCACCUGGAGCUGGAUUGGGUGGCUCCUGUGGACCAAUCAUACUGCUGCAUUGUUCUAGGACCAAUCAGGCUGCUGCAUUUUGGAUCCUAUUCAACUCAGUACAUAACAACACAAUAAGUAGGGAUGCUGCUAACUAGAAGGAAAAAUAGAUUGGUGUGACAUGGACAAGAAUAGACCAAAUCUGGAUAACUAGGGGACUGGCCCCUAAGAUAAAAAAAGCGGUGAUUUGCCCGAAAAUUUGCUCUGAUCAUAAUCCAGUAAAGAUUGAAAUGAUACUAACGCCAAUUGGAGCUUUCAGAUGGAGGAUGAAUGACUCUUUGUUUAGGAAUGAGGAAAUUAUUAAAAAGGCCCAGAAAAACUUGAGAGACUAUUUUGAGAUAAAUAUGAACACUACGACCGAGAAAAGAGUGAUUUGGGAUGCUAGCAAAGCGGUGAUGAGAGGAUUUCUGAUACAACAAAAUGCAAUUAGGAAAAGAUAUCAAAAUGAGAAGAGAGAAAAAAUUCUGGAGAAAAUUAAGGAUGGAGAAAAAAGACUGAGGGCGAAACCGAACUCACAGGAGAUCUUAAAAGAGAUAAAGUUAUACCAAGUACAAUACAUGAAAUUGAUGAAUCAGGAGAUAGAAUGGAAGGUCAAACAGAUGAAACAAAAGACCUUUGAAUCGGCAAACAAGUGUGGGAAACUACUGGCUUGGCAAAUGAAAAAAAGACAAAAGCUGAAUACGAUUACGAAUUUGGUAGUAGAAGGGAAGAAUAUACAGAAUCCUGGAGAGAUUCGGAAGUGCUUUCAGAAUUAUUUUAAACAGCUAUACACGCAUGUCAAGGCUGCCUCAAGUCUUAGCUCACAAAAGACCAACGCCUCUGUCUUCUUAUAUACAAAAGUGUUUAUUGCAGUUCAUGGUUUGCUUGACAUCCUAGGCGCGCAGCCUUACGUCUCUUACGCUAGACCGCCGAAGUCCCCUCUGAGUCAGUUCCUCCCCUGCACCAAUUUAAGAGACUUGCGCUGCUCCACCUCUUUCUCUCCUUCCUUUUCCGCAGGGUCCUUCUGCCCACUGGGGUUUCGCCCCUCCUGGAUUCCUCUGAUGCGGAAUCCCCAGACUGCUCUUCCCCCCCUCCUGCGGGCUUUGGGACCUGGCCCCUCCUCCGGGCUCCCUGCACUUCCGCGCGCCUCUACAUUUGAACUAGGCGCGCGCGCCAAACCUCUAACUUUCCUUUUGACAGUUACACUACUCCCUUCACUGCUCCCUCCCCUUCCGGGAGGGCGGCUGCUCUGACCCCCUCCUUUCUCUGCUGCUGGAGCUGCUUCCUCUGACACACUGGAAACUCCACCCCCUUCGCUGCACUCUGGUGGGAGGCUGGUCCUGACGCCCAGCUGCCACUUUGGGAUCUUCCGCUGGCACCCUGCUCCUGACACUUCCCCCUGGGGCUCCCUGGCCUUGACCACCGGCGCCCCCUUCUGGGAAUCCUCUGAUUCGCUGGAAAGACUCAUGGAAUCUCUUGAGUCAUUGUCAUCCUCUUCCUCGCUGGCUUGGAAUUCCUCCCCAUCGCUCUCCAUCUCCUGCCUACCCUGUGCCUCUCUCCCUGAACCCCUGACAACGCAGGAGACUCAGAAAGAAUUAGACAUUGAUCGGUUUUUGAAAAUUAACGGAUUACAAAAAAUAUCUCAAGAGAGCAAAUCAAUAUUAAACUCUAUAAUAUCUGACCAAGAGGUGGAAGGAGCCAUUCAGAAUAUGAAAUUGGGCAAAUCUCCAGGACCAGAUGGUUUAACUGCAAAGUACUACAAAUCUUUGAAAGAAUGGUUAAUGCAACCUUUGAAAGAAGUUUGCAAUGAAAUACUACGGGGAGGAAAAGCACCCGAGUCGUGGAAAGAAGCAUACAUUACACUUAUACCAAAAACUGAAGUGGAAAAGACACAGUUGAAGAACUACCGUCCCAUAUCCCUACUUAAUGUGGAUUACAAAAUUUUUGCGGAAAUUAUGGCUAAAAGAUUAAAAAUGUAUUGGUGAAAGAGAUUCAUAAAGAUCAGGCGGGCUUUCUCCCGGGAGACAUCUGUCAGAUAAUACGGGGAAUAUUAUUAAUAUUCUAGAAAAAUUGCAAGUUAAUAUUAAUACUAAAGCGGUUUUAAUAUUUGUAGAUGCGGAGAAAGCCUUUGACAAUAUUUCUUGGAACUUUUUGAAGAAAAAUUUGCAGGGGAUGGUGGUAGGCCAAAGUUUUGAAAAUGGUAUAGGUGCAAUUUAUUCGGAACAAAAAGCUAAGCUCAUCGUAAAUAAUGUAGUCACAGAAGAAUUUAAGAUAGAGAAAGGAACAAGACAGGGUUGCCCAAUCUCCCCACUGCUUUUUAUAUCGGUCCUGGAGGUUUUGCUCAAUAUGAUUAGGAAAGACCAAUUGGUUAAGGGUAUACAACUCGGAGCUAAACAGUACAAAUUGAAAGCUUUUGCUGAUGACUUAGUUUUGACACUACAGGAGCCAGAAUCCAGUACAAAAAGAGUAUUGCAAUUAAUUCAAGAAUUUGGUCAAGUAGCAGGUUUUAAAUUGAAUAAGAUGAAAACUAAGGUAUUAGAGAAAAUCUUACAGAGAUUGAGAAAGAGAGGUUUCAGAAGGAGACAGGAUUAACAUUAGUUAAUAAAGUGAAAUAUUUAGGGGUGUAUAUGACUGCUAAAAAUGUGAAUUUGUUUAAAGAUAACUAUGAAAAAUGUUGGUUAGAAGUAAAGAAAGAUUUGGAAAUAUGGUCAAAAUUGAAGUUAUCAUUGUUGGGCCGAAUUGCUGCGAUAAAGAUGAAUGUAUUGCCUAGAAUGUUGUUUUUGUUUCAAACAUUGCAAAUUGUGGACAAAAUGGAUUGCUUCAAGAGGUGGCAAAGAGAUAUUUCUAAAUUUAUCUGGCAGGGCAAAAGCCUAGAAUAAAAUUUAAAAUAUUAACAGAUGCAAAGGAAAGAGGUGGAUUUGCCCUGCCAGAUCUUAAACUUUAUUAUGAAUCAGCCGCAUUUUGCUGGCUGAAAGACUGGCUACUUCUUGAAAAUACGGACAUUUUGGACCUAGAAGGUUUUGAUAAUGUGUUUGGAUGGCAUGCAUAUUUAUGGUAUGACAAGGUUAAAGCGCAUAAGGCCUUUAAGAACCAUAUUGUCAGGAAAGCAUUGUUUAAUGUUUGGGUGAGAUAUAAGGAUUUGUUGGAAAGUAAAACACCAAGGUGGCUGUCACCAAUGGAGGCUAAGGCUUUGAAAAAAACUAAUAUGGAGACAAACUGGCCAAAAUACUGUGAAAUUCUAGAACAAGUUGGAGAUAAACUAAAACUGCAGAGUUUUGACAAAUUAAAAACUAAAGUUCGAGACUGGCUUCAUUAUUAUCAAAUAAGGGAGGCUUUUAACCUAGAUAAAAAGAUUGGUUUCCAGGAGGAAAAGUCCAAAUUGGAAACCGAAUUGUUAGAGCCUAAAAUUAAGAACCUGUCAAGAAUGUAUAACUUGCUGCUGAAAUGGAAUACACAGGAUGAAACGGUUAAAUCUGCUAUGAUUAAAUGGGCACAAGAUGUUGGACAUAACAUUAUGUUUGCUGACUGGGAACGGUUAUGGACCACAGGUAUGAAAUUUACGGCUUGUAAUGCCUUAAGAGAAAAUAUAAUGAAAAUGAUUUAUAGGUGGUACUUAACCCCAGUCAAGCUAGCAAAAAUCUAUCAUUUGCCUGAUAAUAAAUGUUGGAAAUGUAAAGAAAACGAAGGUACUUUCUUUCACCUUUGGUGGACGUGCCCAAAGAUCAAGGCCUUCUGGGAAAUGAUAUAUAAUGAAUUAAAAAGGUAUUGAAAUAUACUUUUCUAAAGAAACCAGAGGCCUUCCUCUUGGGCAUGGUCAGCCAAUUGGUGCGAAGGGAAGAUAGAACUUUUUUUAUGUAUGCGACAGCAGCAGCAAGAAUACUUAUUGGGAAAUACUGGAAGACACAAGAAUUGCCUACCCGAGAAGAAUGGCAGAUGAAAGUGAUGGACUAUAUGGAACUGGCUGAGAUGACCGGCAGAAUUCGAGACCAGGGAGAAGGGUCGAUGGAAGAAGAUUGGAAAAAUUUAAAAUAUAUCUUCAAAAAUACUGCAACAUAAAAGAAUGUUAGAAAGAGGUUGGAAAAAGAAUAUUAGGUCGUUUUGGCAGAUAUGACAUAAUGGAUUAAGUAAAAAUGAAGUAUAGAAAUUGAGGAUAGAGGAGGAUUAAUUAUAUUAUUGAAUGUUAAAAUAAGUAAAUGAAAAGAAGGUUAGAAGGAUUUGCUGGAAAUACGAUUUAAACUAGAAUACAAAGCGGGGAGGUGAGAGGAAGUCACGGAAAUAAGUAAAAGGGAAAAAGGUUGUAAAGGUUUAAUUCGAUUUUUGUUAUAUUUCAUUGUAAUGUAUUUUUAUAUUUUUUGUUGAGUUUUUCUUACUGUCUGUUUUUUGUUAUAUGUUCUAUUCUAUUUUGUAUGGUUUUUUUCUUCUUUUUUGUAAUCUUAAAAUUGGAAUAAAUAUCUUUUUUUAAUAAAAGAAAAUAUAUAAAAAUAGAUUGGUGUGUUCUUGUGCCUGUAACAGAUGUUGAAGAUAUCAAAUAUUGUGCAGUUUGAAGCGACUGGAAGCAGAGGAACUAACUCCUUUGGAAGGGAAGCAUUGUCCAGACCCAUGAAAACAUUAUUCAAAGUUUUACUGGCAGAACGUUCUUUAAAACAGAAUUAAAGCAUCAAAAAUAUCCAUAAAAUAUCUUGCGCUGACCUGCACAGGUUCAGCAUCUUGCAAAAUAUGAAAAUAAUAAUAAGCAAACCUCACCCUGCCCUCUCUCUCAGCUGCUUUGGAGCCUCCAGGAUCCCCCUUUGUUCAGGAGAGCUGUUUACUUGCAUUGUUCUCCCAGUAGCAUCCAGAGACCUCCAUUUGCAUCUGAGUUUGGGAGACAAAGAAUCAGAGGCAACUCCUUUCAAAAUCAAGAAUGCAACCCAAUACCUCUUGCAUGUUCCCAGGUUUACAACCCUCACAUGUUAGCUACCAGAGAACAACAGUCAGUUUGUUAAUCAUCAAUUCUGCAAGGAGCUCGGAGUUAUUUAGAAAACUCUUUUGGAAAACCCCCAGUGUUAGCAAUACACUUUUGGGUAUUUUCCAUUUUAAACCUCCAUCAAUACAUAUACAUCUUUCAUUUCUGUGUGAGUUAAACCAUUAUACUUAACAACAGAUGCCUCAUUUGUAUGAAUCACAAGCUGUCCUUCUUCACUGACUGCCUCAACACUUCAUCAAUGAAGGAUGCUUGGAGGAGAAAUUGACUCAUGGUGAGUUGAUGAUGCUUUCUGAAAUAUUGGUGCUAAACUGCAGCACAGAGCCGUAAGACUGGUAUAUUUCUAGCUAUUCUGUAUUUUUAAUGAGGAAGCGACAAAUCACCUUGCUCAGAAGUUAUUCAGAUCAGGAGAUGCUGACCUGUGCUUCUCCAGAUGUUCUCAGCUUACAGAUCUCCAUCACCUUUGACAAUUUCUUAUGUUGGGGCCAAUGGUGGAGUUGAGUUCAACAAUAUCUGGAGGACCACAGGUUCUCGACCUCUGAUUUAAAUAAAAUAACUAUGUGUUUCCACACCCUUUCUUUAUAUUUAUUUAUAUGCUCCUUGUUUUGAUUUGUUUGUGUUAAGUUUUUAAAUCUUUAUUAUCUACAUAAUUCCACAUUAAAGACUCCGGAAUCUGAAAGUGUUUUUCUCUUUGCUGCAGAUAGUGCCACGGCUACUCACAGCGGAUUUCAGCGUUACUUCCAUGGCUUGAACCCUCAUAGACCCAGCUUAUUUCGCUCCACAAUCCCGUCUCUUGAUUUGCUGUACUUUUAAUGGAGCUGAUUCUGUAUCGAAUUGUCUGUGUUAAUUAAAAAAGCAUGUAUUCUAGCAGCUAUAUUAUUGGUGUAUAUACGACCCCGUUCAUGUCUCCCAUCAUUAUGAUGUUGUUGUAAUCCAGAUAUUCCAGCAUUGUCCCCUGCAGCUUCUUGUAAAAUUCCGAUUUCCCUUCAUUAGGUGCAUAGAUUCCUAAUAUCAACAGUUUCUCUCCUUGAUAUUGUAUCUCAAUGGCCAAAAUUCUUCCAUGUUCAUCUUUAAAUAAGAAUUUAGGUGACAGGCUCUCUUUUGCAUAUAUCACCACGCCUCUCUUCUUAACUUUGUCCGACGAAACAAAUUCCUGGCCCAAUCUUUUAUUUAUUAACACUUUUCUGUGGAGCCUCGUCACAUGUGUUUCUUGUAAACAGAUAAUGUCCAAUUGUUCUUUUUUAAUAUAUGAAAUAUUUUCUUCCUUUUUCCGGAAUGUUACAACCAUUAAUGUUCCAACUCAGCAAUUGCAGAGACAUCCUGGAUCUAUCUGGUUAUUUCUCCAGGGGUGGUGUCUUCUCUGGAUCUUCAGGUUCCCCAGGUGCUGGUGUUAAUGCUGGCUUUGCCCCAGGCCCAGAAGGUAAUUCAAUUCCUUUUUGAAGGUCCUCUCCGUAUGUAGCCAAAAAUUUGUCUCUCUCUUCCAAUGUUCUAACUUUGACCUUUCUCCCUUUAAAGGUAAAAGAUAUUCCUUGGGGGAAUUCCCACCUGAAUGGAAUUGCGUUGCUCCUUAGUAGUUUAGCAAGUUCAGAAUAGGCGGCUCUAAGAUCCAGCAGUUGUCUUGGAAUAUCUUUAUAAAUUUCAAUUCUUCUGUCCAAAACCUCCAGUGACUUUCCGUAAUGUAGGCCCAAAAUCUUAUCCCUUUCCUCCUUUGAUCUCAAUGUAAUCAAACAGUCUCUGGGCCUCUCCUUCUUUGUGAAUCUUCCAAGUCUGAAAGCCGACACAAUUUUAAAAUCCUUUUCUUCCAAAUUCCAGAACUUGGAAAAUUCUUUGGUCAAAAACUCAGUUAAAUUUCCUUCUUCUGCCUCUUGUAAUGAUCUAAUCCUCAAAUUAUUCUCACGAUUUCGCAGUUCUAUCAUGGAAAGAUAAGUCUGAUGUUCCCCAACUUGUUUGGUGAGUGGUCUUACCUCUUGCUCUAAAUUUUCCAAUUUUUGUCUAGUAUCCUCAGCCAAUUUCCGAUUUUCUGCUGAGGCCUCCGUUAACUGUCCAAUUGCUUGUGUAUUCUGUACAACUUGUAUGGUUAAUUUAUUUAGACAUUCUGUAUUUUUGUCAAUCUUUGCUGAUUGCGCAUCUACUUUCUUGUCCAAAGCUUCCAAUUUUUCAAAGAUUUUGUCUAGAACAGAAACAGAUACUCCUGAGGCCAUAUCUUCCAAUUGUAACUGCUCUGCUUCACCCUCUCCCUCUUUUGCCUGUGGCAAGGCAACUUCUUCAAGUUCUACUUCUGAGGGCAAAGUAGGUACAGAUGAUCUACGUGUCUGCGAGGCUGAGGUUAGAGUUGUUAAAGUUGUUUGUCUAACUCUCCCUCUUUUCCUUGUGCCACUCAUUCCAACGUUGUCUAUCAGUCAAGGUCACACUGAGUUUUUCCCAUGGGAAUAGAAAGGCCCAGAGCAAGCAAACAACAAGGGAAUCGAAAGUAAAUGUAAAUGUAAAGUCACUGUUUUAAUCCAAUCCUCUAGAGGGAGCUUAAAAUGUCUUUCAGAGUCUAAUUUAAUGUCCAAGAACCUUCAAAUAUAAAUAUUUAGCAGAGUUUAUAAGUAGUCACUUUGUUACAGACAGUGCUUAUUUAUCUCCAAAAAGAAUGUUUCAAAUUUAAAAGUCUCAAUACCCUCAGAUUGUUGCAAGUUCCAAUAUACAGUAUCCAAAUCUGCAAUACUGACAGCUCAAUUUCUCAAUGCUCAGGCAGCUCCUGACUCUGGGUUUCACCUUCUAAUUUGUAAUCCAAUAAAAGGGGAAAGUCAAGUGCAAGUUAAAAUUCCAAGUCUUUAGCUUAAAGUCUUUACUUUAAAUUGCAAGUUCAGUAGAUGCUUAGAUCUGUAAAGUUUAAAAUCUCUUCCUUUCAGCCUCCACUCCUCCAACUUAGUUGCUUUUUCCAAGUUCAAUGGCUGCGGAAGACGGACUUCCUGUUUCCACGUCUCUCCGCUUUCAGCCAAGUUCAAGCCAAUUUAAGGUUUUUCAUUUAAAGUCUCUAAUUUCAAGUGAUUCAGUCUUUACUCACGAGUAAGUUGCUUUUCGUCCGAAUCCGUAUUUUAGCAGGAAAAUGGAUCAGCGCUCACCGGCAGCAGCAGCGCGGCUUCACUCCGCAGACUGUGAAGCAGCUCUCAGCGCCGCAACCCCCCUCCACGCUCCCGGGGCCCCUUACGAGGUUCCUUUCACGUUUGGAGGGUCACUUAAGGCGCCCACCGAGCCUCAAGACCCCAAGCUCUUGCUGCCUGGGGUUUUCCGGAGUGGGUCUCCGCUUCGCCGUAGCGGACGACCCGUUGUCUGCGGAGCCUCCUCUCCCGUUCAGAAGAGGACCGCCAUUGCCGUUCGCGCCGCCCCUCGGAAGUCUAGCAGCUAUAUUAUUGGUGCCUCUGUAUUUUGGAGAAGUAGUUUGUGGAGGAGAUUUUUUCACGGUGUAUCCUAGGAAGACCCAGUCAGUAGAGCAUGAGAUUCUUAACCUCAGGGUUGCGGGGUUUGAACCCCACAUCAGGCAAAAUAUUUCUUCAUUUCAGGAGGUUGGACUAGAUGACCCUUGUGGUCCCUUCCAACUCUACAAUUCUAUGAUUCUAUGAGUUUACCUAAGGGACCAGCUACUUUUCCAAAGUUUGUCCUGCUAAGGUAGGGAUGGACAACAUGAUACCUUCCUACCACCCCCAUCAUCUCUGAUCAUGUGCAUAUAAGCACCACUUUUCUCCGAUGAAAAUAGCAACGCCCUAUCUAAUAAUAAUAAUAAUAAUAAUAAUAAUAAUAAUAAUACCCUGCCCAUUAGGACGGUUCAUAAAAAAGUUUUUUUAAAAAAAUGCCUGCUCCAAAGGUCUUAUCUUACUACACUAGGGAUUAUAUAGCUUUAUCUGAAAUUUCAUGCAUAUCAGUUAAUAGCUUGAUGCUCGUUUAUGAAAAUAGCUGUUUACUUGGCCGUUUUCCUAUCUCGUGAAGGCUGAAAUUUCGAUUCAGUGGAGCAGAGUCAAGAUAUUAACUGAUAUGCAUGAAAUUUCAGAUAUAGCUAAAUAAUCCCUAGUGUAGUAAGAUAAGACCUUUGGAGCAGGCAUUUUUUUUUUUAAAAAAUGGUUUGUUAUGAACCGCUCUACUGUGGGUGGCUUCCAACAUAUAUCAAAACAUAAUAAGACAUUGAACAUAAAAAACUUCCCUAUUCAGGGCUGCCUUCAGAUGCCUCCUGAAGGUUGGAUGGUUACUUAUCUCAUAUAAACUCUCAGCACACUUAACAAACCAGUGUUCUCAGUAGGGUUGCCAUAUUUCAAACAGUGAAAAUCUGGACAGGAAAUGUUUUUUGCUUUUUGCUUUUUGGGUAAAAUCGCUUUGAAAAAAAAAUGCUGCUUUUGAGCUAUUUUUAUGGGGAAAGUGGCAAGAAAAGGCACUGCCAGAUUUCCCCGGACAUUUUUUAUUGAUUUAUGUCCGGACACUGCUGCCAACUGCAGUAUUCCGGAUACAUCUGGGAAAAUCUGGACGUAUGGCAACCCCAGUUCCCAGGAUGGGAAUGUUGCAGAAGAAGUUAACCCUUCUUCAUCAUAGAGUUCAGAGCCAGUUUCUUUAGGAAUCACCCACUGCCUCUUUCAACGUAGACCACCCUCUCACACAGCAAAGCAUUAACCACACUCUGGACCCAACCAGCCAGCUCUCUCUCUGCUAGAUUUGAUAUGCCAGGAGGGACAGGGGUCAAGGGGGCAUUUGCCACCAACAUCUUGUUGACAUCAGCUGACUGUGUCAGAUGAAACUGAUCACAUAAGACAACAUGGGGUACUUCAGCAGGAGCUGUAACAAGUGCAGAGUCAAGAUCAUGCCAAAGUCAAGUGACUUUAUCCUCCAAGUGUGUAGCCAGUUGGUCACAGUGGGUCUUCAAGGGCUGCAGAGGUCCCUUCCCCAUACUGGGAGUCGAUAACCUCCAGGCCAUCCAAAAUAACUCCACUGAUCACUACUAGAGGAUGCAAUGUGAGCUGCAAAAUGAGCUUCUUUGUUUUUCCAGUGUUGGGUUGGCUUCAGAGCAAGAUUUGCACUACUUGCACUCCAGUCUUCAUCUGGCUUGUUUCAUAGUCCAGAGUUUCAUAGCUCUGAGGACAAAGGAGCUGCUUGGGCUCCAAAACACUGCAGAGGACAUUCAGGAGUGAUCAUGUCAACCACCCGUUUUCAUCUCACCAUUCCAUAGCGAGACCAAGGCUUCAAUAGAAUCACCACCUUUCUCUACUGGAAAAUUCCCCAGACCAUCCAGGAACAUAUCUGGUUCCCUAAGUCUCUGAGGGUGGGCCAUCCAAACAGGCCCACCACCCUUACAGGGGGGAACUGCCCUUGUCAGUCUAAACUUAACCAGAUUAUGGUCUGACCAUGACACUGCGUUCUUGGGGCAAAUAUCACAAGAAGACCAUGACCUUCCUGGUGUGUUGGACCAAUGACCACCUGAGAGAGACCCAUCGUUGUUGUGGAGGCCAUGAAGUCUUGAGCUGAGUGAGGUUGUUCUAGUCACAGAAUUCGAGAGUAGCACAGUAAGAAACUCUUAACCAGCAGGUGAUAGCAGAGAGACCACAGCAGCAACUGGGUAGUGCUGCAAGAGGAGGUUCCAGCAGAUGGUAGCUAUGCCAGGGGUCAGCAACCUAAGGCCCAUGGGGGUUGCUUAACUGGCACAUGGACCCCCCCACCCGCUCGGUUGGCUCCCGUUCGCCGCACUAAACCAGCACGGAGCAGAGUGGGGACAGCCUUCCGCGAUGCUGCUUGGCUUCCCAUUGGCUGCAGGGAGUUCCGUGCUGGAAGGAGCGCCGGAAAUAGCGUUUGCGCAUGUGUGUGUGUGUGUGUGUGUGUGUGCGUGCAUGCCUACACACACACACUCCAGCCCACUGUGGCAUCUGUGGGACCGUGAACCAGCCCACACCACAAAAACUUUGCCGACCCCUGGGCUAUGCCAUACCUUUUAAAGGUAAAGGUAAAGGGACCCCUGACCAUUAGGUCCAGUCGUGACCGACUCUGGGGUUGCGGCGCUCAUCUCGCUUUAUUGGCCGAGGGAGCCGGCGUACAGCUUCUGGGUCUUGUGGCCAGCAUGACUAAGCCGUUUCUGUCGAACAAGUGCAGCGAAAGGAAACGCUGUUUACCUUCUCGCCGGAGGGGUACCUAUUUAUCUACUUGCACUUUGACGUGCUUUCGAACUGCUAGGUUGGCAAGGAGCAGGGACCGAGCAACAGGAGCUCACCCCGUUGCAGGGAUUCCAACCGCUGACCUUCUGAUCGGCAAGUCUUAGGCUCUGUGGUUUAACCUACAGCGCCAACUGCGACCCGCCAUACCUUGUAGCCUCCUGCUAAAACUGUUAAGAAAUGGAACCCUGAUUGCCAUCCUCAGGCCUGGUCUGACUCUAGACUACAAGAAAUCUAGCAAAUAGGCCUCCUCUCAAAAUGCCUGCAGGUGAUCAGGAACUACAUGCUUGAAUACACUAUUGCAUACAUUUUUAAUAGUGGCUUUUUAAGAGAACACUGUAUCCUUCAAGCUGCAUCCUGAUCGUUCAUGGACUAUUAGCAACGGCUUCCUCAUGGGCUAUUUACAGAUUGCCAUCUGUGGAGAGGGGCCUUAUUUCAGGGUCAGAGAGCAUCAUUUGCCAGCUGAAGUUCCUGGGUUCAACUAGUGGUGCCACCAAGACUGGGCUUUGGGGCAGAAGUCCAAGACUCUACUCAGCAGCACAGUGACUAGGAGGGCCUCAGAAGCAGUUGGUUUUCUGCACUGGGAAUUAAGUGAAGUAGUAGACAUUGCAAGUUAAAUAAGUGGGGCCCUGUAGGAGCAUUAAGUUGAGGGCAGGAUGCCUCUGAUUGCCAUUUCCUGGGACUCACAAUUGGGGAAAAUGUUGCUGCAGUCAGGUCAGGCUUGUGGGCACCUGCUUGGCUGCUAUGAGAUGUUGGGUAAGAUCAGUGGUGGACUUGGGGCUCUCAAAUUUCAGCAGCACCCAGUGUGAUAGUAAAAUUUGGCACUCCCACCUCUUGUGCUCCAUUCAACAUCAUUGUUGUGGCACUCCCCGUGGCACCGGCACCCAGUGUGGCCAAACUGGUUACACUACCCUCAAUCCACCUCUGGCAAGAUGGGUCUUUGACUUGAUCAAACUAUGGGGUUAUUCUCUAGGUCCUGAAAGACCUACUUUGGCUCCUAGUACGUUUCCAAGCACAAUUCAAAGUGUUGGUGCUGACCUUUAAACCCCUAAAUGGCCUCGGCCCAGUAAACCUGAAGGAGCAUCUUCACCCACAUCGUUCUGCCAGGACACUGAGGUCCAGCGCCGAGGGCCUUCUGGUGGUUCCCUCAUUGCAAGAAGCAAAGCUACAGGGAACCAGGCAGAGGGCUUUCUUGGCAGUGGCGCCCACCCUGUGGAACACCCUCCCAUCAAAUGUCAAAGAAAUAAACAACUAUCUGACUUUUUGGAAGACAUUUGAAAGCAGCCUUGUUUAGGGAAGUUUUUAAGAUUUGAUGAAUUAUUGUAUAUUAAUCUUUUGUUGGAAGCUGCCCAGGGUGGCUGGGGAAAUAUUAUUAUUAUUAUUAUUAUUAUUAUUAUUAUUAUUAUUAUUAUGUUAUACCCAUGGUACCUUGGAAAACCUCUUUCACAUUGGAAGAAAGCUUUGGAGAACCUCGAAGGCCAGUUUAAGCACAACACUACUGAAUACCAAGCGCUGGGAAUCAGAAGCUGGGAGAGUGGAGAGUGGAGAGUGUUGCUGCUAUACUCAUAUCUGGUUUGUGGGCUUCCCUCAGACAUCUGUCUGGCCACUGUGAUAACAGGAUGCUUCGGUCUGAUGCAGUCGUGGUCUUCUUAUGUUCAUGUGGUCUUAAAUCUAGAUUCUAAAAAUGCCCAACUGCAUCACUGUGUGCAACUGUUGGUGUCUCCUGGUUUUGUUUAAUGCAUUGUGCACCCUCUGAAAGCUGUCCAGAUGGGAAUGUGACAGAAAAAGGCCCCUCCCCACCCCAACAUUACAGACCUGCACUUCAAACUCCUCCUCUAUCCCUCGAUGGACUGCUGUCAUUCAAUGGCCUAUAAAUAAGGAGCACCUUCUGUUCCCUCCUCAGAAUCUCCAGCAAGUUGAUUCAGCCAUGAAGCUCUCUUGCCUGAUCUAUGGUUUCCUCUUCCUCUUCUCCUUCUUCUCUCCCUUCCUAGUAAGGGCCACAGGUAUGGUACAGGGGCAUAUUGCUUAGACUGUGACAUGCACUGAAAGAGCUAUGUGGACAGUUCAAGCCUGCUUUCCACAGGGGCCUAGUUGACCCCCCUCAUAUAGCAGCACCCAGCAAUGUGUCCUCCUUCUUCUACAUCCUGACUAUAUGUUUAAUUAGGUUUUAAAACGCUAAUUAAGCUUUAGUGUUGGUCCUGAAUUUUUCUGGUGUGAGGAUCCUGGUAGAGUUGGCCUCAUAUCAUUCCAUAUUGGAUUAGGGCUGAUCUAAAGUGCUGAAUUAGACCCUGGAUUCAUUUUUCAUGUGGGUGGGUAGGGGGAGGGCAUGUACAGCCCUAUUUUUUUUACUGCUAUUUGCUUUUAAUAGAGCUGGUAUAAAAUAGCUGAAGAAACUGAACUACGUUCCUAGUUCAGAUCUUUCAGCCUUAUACACCCCCUCCCCACCCACAAUAUGGAGCAUCGUAUGAGUGACUUAACUUUUAUUGUUAGAGCCAGAGGCAUCAUGAGGAGCCGGGAGCAGAGCCGAACGUGGCGGCCAUGUGGCUCAGUGGCUUCCCCCUCCUCUUAGCACUGCCACCAGCAGGAGUCUGCUUCGCCCCUGCUUCCCCUCUGCAGCAGCAGCAGGAGAAGAAGGAGCCAGCUGCUGGAGACGUGCCACAUUCUGCUCCACGCUUUGGCUCCACACUUUUGGGUCAUGGGAGUGGUUGGCUGGGCUGGCCCCUACCUCAAAAAUAUAGGGGGCACCAAAGCUAAAAUAUUAUACAAGAAUGUGUAUGAGAAAUGUGUGCUAAAAUGCGGAUAUAUUCUCGUGAGAUCUUCAAAAUGGUGAUAUAGUCUCACGAGAGCUUAAAGAAAGCAAACCGAUGGAGAGGUGUGGUGAACUAAAUUUAAGGUAGGAAAAACAAGAAAUUUUGGGUGCCUGUGGGUUGCUGGUAUUUUGGAAGAGGGGUUCAAACACAUAGUGAGAGAUUUAGGUUUGCUCAAUUAAACUGGAUAAUAAGUUAUUUGUUGCCCUGGUUGAACAAAUCCAUGUUAAAAGUGGAAACUGACUCUCUGAGGUUAGGAAAGUGAUGGGAUAAUGCAUGGAAAUGUGGGCUGGAUAAUAGAUUAAGGUGAAAUCAUAUAAAAAAACCUUUCAAGCAAGUCAGGAUGAAUGUUCAUUGUGUUCCAACAAAUGAAUUGGAAUGAAAAUUCAGUUUUUUAAAAAAGAUAUAACCUAACCUCAGCAUAAGCUUUGUGUAAGUAAUUCAGAAUGAAUGCUGAAUGAAUAGGACAUCUGAACCAGCCCAUAUAGAAAACUGCAAUCAAGAGAUUCUCGUCAGAGGACAUGGCUAAGGGAUAUGAGAUUCAACAGCUUCCAGCUCACCAUCCUUAGCUGCUCAUCUAACCCAACUCUCUCUUUUUGAAAUAUAUAUCCAGAACCAUUGUGUAAUGGCCAAUGCAAGGAUAAGUGCGGUGAAGAUGAAAAGCAAUGGUCUGGAAGAGUGAUAUGCCAAAAACAUGACAACAUCUACUGCUGUAAAAAGUAAGAUAAGUUUCCUUCAAGUGCUCAUUUGUGAUCUGCAAGAUCAGCCUUGCAUUAAAUGGAAUGCAGGGUCCAGACUGUCACGGCUAAAAUGGCCGCUGUUUCUUUAAUGCGAAUAAAGCUGGGUCAGCAUGACUCAGCGGCUUGCAGCAAGUUGUAUAUAUAAGUGAGAAAUGUUAGUUUGUGCUGAGGCUGGUGUUUGGGUUGGUUGGUUGGUUAGUUGGUUAGUGCUGGUGUGUAUAGUUAUUCAGUCGUGUUUUGCACAAAGACUUUUAAGAAUAAAACUCUGCAAGGAUAUUCUUGUGGACUCUUUUAUGCAGACAAGGGUCCGAGGACCAGGCUGAGGAGACAAAGGGAGGUCAGAACCCUUUCCUUCUUUUUUUUGCUUUUUACAAACACUGACACAGACUGGGAGUAUGAUGGGAACUGUGAAGAAGAAUCUGAGAGAAUGCCUGUGUAGGAGUGAGUUUGCUGAAGCAAACGGGUAUGCCAAUUUUUGUGUGAAAGGACAGUAUAGUAGCAUCUUUAGCAAUGCUCAGAACAUGUGGGAGUUAGGAUCCAAAAAAGGUGAAUGAGAAGGAAUGGUGGCACUCUAUGAUUUGAGUUGUUUGAUUCCAGUAAAAGGCAUAUAACACCCUGCUUUCAGGAUUUGCACUGGUGCAGAUCUGCCACAGACCCAAGUUCAAGGUGUUAUAAUAAUAUAAUAAUAAUUUAUUAUUUAUAUCCAGCCCAUCUGGCUGUUGGUACUAAGAUACAAGUCUACUGAAAACCACUGAUUGAAGAGAGUGGAAACUUUCUAAUUUCAGAGGCCCUGGUGAGAGGACAGAAAAGGAUAAGGAGAGUUGCGGAGUAGGUGGUGAAAUCAGCAUGGCAGUUAACUGUUUAGAGAAGUGUGCCAAGCAUCCAGGCAUUUGCAAUAAGGUCCCAUGUGACACUAAGACCCAAAAAAUGGGGACAUGUGGUACAGGGCUCUAUUGCUGCAGUAGAUUGUAAGAUUUUUCUCUGUGCCAAGGAUUCCCUGCCUGAGCUGCUUCAGGUCAUGGUGGAUGUUCUGCUGGAGACACCUAGCUUGGUUGUCCUAGGGGAUUUUAACAUCCAUGCUGACACGACCUUAUGAGGGGCCGCUCCAGACUUCGUGGAAAGCAUGGCCUCCAUGGGGCUGUCCCUGAAUAAGUUUGGCCCAACUCAUAGUGCUGACAUGCCUUAGACCUGGUGUCUACCUCUAUUGAUGUAGGUAAUCUGACAAAAAACAAAAGAAGUGCCACGGUCAGAUCACUUCCUGGUGCAACUGGACUUCUCCACGACCCUUCCCCUCUGCAGGGAGGUGCAGCGGCGGAGCUAUCUGUCCCGCCUCCUGGAGUGGGGCGGGGGCGGGGCUAGCCGGCCCGUGGGGUGGGGCUAGCUGCCCGCACGGCAAGCAUCCCUAGCUGCUUGCCACCCACGCGGCGAGUUUCUGGAGGGGCGCCACUAGCCGCAUGCAGCAGCAGCAUCCCUAGCAGCCUACCGCCUGCGUAGUGAGCAUCUGGGGGUGCCGCGCAUGUAGCGAGUGUGGGGGGUGGCGGCGCGGUGAUGUCACCCACCCUCACGGCUGACACCCGGUGUGCACCACACCCCCCACCCGCCUUCCUCUGCCAGUGGGAAGGUGUGGGACCAAUUCGGAUGGUCCGUCCCCUCCACUUAAUGGAUCCAAAUGGUUUCCAGAGAGUGGUAGGGGAUGCUUUAUCCCAUGUUGAUGGCCUUUCAGCUGAUUCCCUGGUGGCCUGCUAGAAUGCAGAGUUAACCAGGGCUAUCGACUGUCUGGCUCCAAAGCACCCUCUUCAAUUGCAUGAAGCCUGGACAGCCCCAUGGUUUUCUCCAGAGCUGAGGGCGAUGAAACAAUCGCUGAGAUGGCUAGAGAGCUGGUGGCGGAAAACUCAUUUUGAAUCAGACCGGACACGGGUUAGAGCUCAACGUUGAGCCUACCAAGUGGUGAUAGUGGCGGCAAAGAGGUGAAGGUGACCCAGAAACUACAACUAAUCCAGAAUGCGGCAGCUAGACUGGUGACUGGGAGCUGCCGCCAGGACCACAUAAAACUGGUCUUGAAAGACCUACAAUGUCUCCCAGUAUGUUUCUGAGCACAAUUCAAAGUGUUGGUGCUGACCUUUAAAGCCCUAAAUGGCCUCAGCUCAGUAUACCUGAAGGAGCAUGCCCAGAGUGGCUGGGAAAACCCAGCCAGAUGGGCGGGGUAUAAAUAAUAAAUUAUUAUUCUAUUAUCUUUAAGGCCGCAGUUCACAGUAAUGCAUGCAUGCAUGCAUACAUACAUACAUCAUUUUAUUUGGCUGCCACCUUUCCAUAGUUGAAACCAUGCUCAAAGUGGCUUACAACACGAAAACAAAUCACACAAUUACAAACUGAAAAGAAUCAGUCAUAAACAAUAAAUACAUAAACAAUAAAUACACAAUCCAAUUGAGCAAUUUUCACAUAAAUCAUGAAUCAUCUAAAAACAAAGAUACAAAAAGAUUAUAUAAAUAACAGCAAAACCCCCACUCUUCUACAACCCCCACUAAACAAGAUCCCAGCCCAAGGGUCUGUAGCCUCAGCUUUUGUAGCUGGAGUCAGUCCAGGCCCCAUCUUCCUAGGCCAGGUGAGAAAAGGCCUGCAGGCCAGGGAACAAGUCUUCCAGCACUCACAGAUGUCUUUGGUGAAUCCUCAACCUGUUUUAGAAGUAUGGCUCUAUUUGAUGUGAGUGAUAGCUAUGGAAAAAAGGUCCCUCCCAUCUUUCUCUGGGCAGAAAAAAAAAUCUGCAACUGACAUUUGAAUUGUAGGGGAUUGCUUCUUCUCUAGCCUCUUUGGGUUGGCUCUGACUCCAUCUGUUGUCAGUGGGACUUACUUCAGGAUAAUGUACAGUUAUUGCAGCAUGAGCCCAGAUUAUAAAUUGUGAUGGCAGUGACCCCUUCUGAACCAAAGAAAGGCAUUUUGGUACCCAGGACUGAUAAAGAUUGGGACGUGGGUGGCGCUGUGGAUUAAACCACAGAGCCUAGGACUUGCCGAUCAGAAGGUCGGCAGUUCAAAUCCCCGCGACGGGGUGAGCUCCCGUUGCUUGUUCCCUGCUCCUGCCAACCUAGCAGUUCGAAAGCACGUCAAAGUGUUUUUGUGUGCUGCUCUGGUUCGCCAGAAGUGGCUUAGUCAUGCUGGCCACAUGACCUGGAAGCUGUACGCCGGCUCCCUCGGCCAAUAAAGAUAGAUGAGCGCCGCAACCCCAGAGUCGGCCACGACUGGACAUAAUGGUCAGGGGUCCCUUUACCUUUUUACUGAUAAAGAUGAGGUGGGGAAUCUCAAUAUGCUGUAUAGGGUCAGGGUGGUGGUUCAGGCCAAGUAGAGUAAGUUCAAAUCUCAGCUCGGCCAUGAUGUUUACUGGGUGACCCUGGGCCAAAUUUAUCUCACACGAGUCUAGUAUUUUGUUAUAAACUCUUCCAAUGUGCUCUUUGGUUCUUGUUCUGAUGUUCUGUUUCUUAUGAUUAUAGAUGACUGAAGAGCGUCAACCAAUUGUGUGCUGUGUAUCAGCCAAUCCAGAGGUUCUGAGUCCAUGAUGUCACCCUCUCACAGCCACAGCCAACCAUCUGAAAUUAUACAAUAAAAAUGGGCUUUUAGUCUCAUACUUUGUUUGAAGUUCUGUUGAGUUAUGAAUGCCAGAGGAGGGUAUGUCUUUCUGAGGUUGAGUGGGAAAGAAGGCAAUGAUAACUUAUUGAAGUUUCAUCCCAUCACUCACCAUCCCAGGAAUGCAUCUUGUUAUAUAUAUGCUCCCCACAGCAUUGGCCACCCGCAAUCUCCUACAUUAUAUUGCCACCUCAACGGAAGCAUCCAGACUCUGUUCUAAGUGGAUUGAACUAUACAAACACACUUCAUCUCGCCCCAAACUUAUUCUCUUUUUUCCUCUGUUACCACUUGGUUUGGGCUGGAACAAAACCGUACAUCUUUUCUCACACAUCUUCCUCCCUUUUUUUGAUUUUGGGAUUCUUGUUAAAAACCAACCAACCAGAGGAAGUACAAGCAGAGAGACAGAGAGAGCAAGAGCAAGAGAGAGAGAGAGAGAGAGAGAGAGAGAGAGAGAGAGAGAGAGCCAGUGUGGUGUAGUGGUUAAGAACGGUAGUCUUGCAAUCUGGGGAACCGGGUUUGCAUCUCCGCUCCUCCACAUGCAGCUGCCGGCUGACCUUGGGCUAGUCACACUUCUCUGAAGUCUCUCAGCCCCACUCACCUCACAGAGUGUUUGUUGUGGGGGAGGAAGGGAAAGGAGAUUGUUAGCCGCUUUGAGACUCCUUAGGGUAGUGAUAAAGCGGGAUAUCAAAUCCAAACUCUUCUUCUCCUGCUGCUUUUUUUUAAAAAAAUAAUAUUUAUUACUUUUAAACCUUACAAAAAGAAAAAAGAGAAAAAAAGAGAAAAGAAAAAAAAGAAGAAAGAAGAAGAAAGAGCAAAAGAAAAAACAAUACAGUACAAUGUAUAAACAAUACACAACACAACAUUAACACAUUAAACAGAACGAAAGCAAAAACAGUUCAAAAAAUCACACAUCAUACCAUCUCAAUAUCCUCUCUUUCAUUCCCUUGUUUCAUCGACCUCCUCUCACCUCCCUUUUUGUAUUCCAUUUCUAUUAAUUAUUUCAGCAAAUCCUUUCCAUCUUUCUCUAUUUUCUGUCAUAUAAUUAUCUUAACAUAUUUUAACCUUAUUUUCCAUUAAUACUAUAAUACUUAUUUAUGCUUAAAUCCUUAAAACAUUUCUACUAAAGCCUAUAAUUUCCUUCCAACAUUUUUCUAACACUCAUUAAUUUUACAUUAUUUCCAUAUAUAGAUUUUAAACUUUUUCCAAUAUUCUUCCACCGUCUCUUCUCCCUGGUCUCGGAUUCUGCCAGUCCUUUCUGUCAAUUCCAUAUAGUCCGUCAAUCUGGUGAUCUUCUGUCCGAGGCUCUUAACUCUUUUCCAAGUCCCUUCUGCAAGUCUUCUUCAUAUUUAUACAUGCAGUUUACUUUGUCUUCUCCUGAUCUUGUUCUUAUUUUCUUUCCUUUGAUGCUGAAAAGUAGAUCUUGGGGAAAUUCCCACCUAGCAAUGUUUUUAUUCCUUCUCAACAAAUCAACCAAAUCUCCAUAGUUAAAACUAAAAUUCAAAGGAUAUUUCCAGUCGUAUUUCAAAGUUCCUCCAAGUCUAGCGGUCCCCACAACUCCAGUCUCCUCCUGACCCAAGUCCAGGUCCCAAAGUUCAAUAAAUCCCUGCAUGAAGGGAUCUAUCCAACUUUCCUUCUCCCGUCCAAGCAGGGCUCCAAUCCUCAAAGUCUGGCUUUCUCUAAAUUCAGUCAUAAAAGGCAUCAACUUAUAGUAUAGUCAUCAAAUUGCAUCUGUAAGGCUGGGGCUCUCUCCCUCUCCACUUGUACUACUUUAGAUUCCACAACAACAACUUUCUCCCCAGCCUUCUCUUCAAUUUGCCAUGUCAAAGUAGAUCCCUGUAUCGAUUCCUGAGUAGUUUCUGUAUUAAUAUUCACUUUUUGUCCCAAGUUAGUCACUUUUUGUUCCAAGUUAUCAAUUUUUAUAAUCAUCACAUCCGUCUUCCUAUGGAGCUGUUCCAUUGAAUCAUUAAUCUUACAUAGCUCAACCACUAAGGCUUCUUCUGUCAACAUUCUUAACGGUCCAAGGUCAAUCCCAAAUUCUCACAGUCUUAUCUUGCAGCUGGAAAUUCCCCCAGCUCAGCUCAUGUAACAGUUUCAAAGGCUUCCUCUAGAGGGAAACAUUUUCUAUUGUAUCAAUCCUUUUAAGCACAGUUCAAGCAAUAAGGUUAGUUUCAGUUUUCAAAUACUUUCACUCCUUUUUAAACGCAGAAGGAGACAAUGGAAACAAUGUAUUUCUCUUCUUUAACUUACUGUCAAGAAACGAUCUAUUCACAGUCAAUGAGCAUAUCCAAAACUUCAGUCUUACUAGCAGCCUGUUUCCAGGUUCAGAGCGGUGGUAGUUUGACUUUUUUCACUCUCACCUGCAGGCUUACACGGUCUAAAGAUUCCCCCCUCUCCUCCUGCUUCCAAGGGGGGUUUGAUGAUUUUAGCCGAUGGAAGUUUAAUCCUUUAUAAAAAGCUUUCCAAGACUUUAGCUUGCAGCCUUUUUGCUUCAGUCUAUUUACAAAAGGGGGAGGCGGAAUUCCUGUUUUGAAACCUCCCCGUUUCGAUGCCAAAUUAAGAUGUUUGAAAAUCCAAUUUUCCGUUCUACUCACGGGUAGUUGUUUAAAGUCCAAUUGUUCACAGGAAAAAGUCAGCGCUCUCCGGCAACAGCAAUGCGGCUUCACUCCGUGAAAGAAGCAGUCGAUUCGAAGCACCGCGCCACUCACCCCACGUCGCUCCGGAUCCCCGAAACUGGGUUUCCCCGCGAGUAGGGGAGGCGCAAAUGGUGCCAGCCGAAUCCCACGUCCACAGGCUUCUCCCGCCUGUGGUUUUUAGUGGGUCUCCGCCUUUGCCGUGGCGGCCAGACCCUGAUUUCCACGGAGCGGAUUCCUCCCGAUCAGAGGAAAUCCGCCAUUGCCGGAGGCGCUAACCCGGAAGUCCUCUUCUUCUCCUGCUGCUUAGUUAUGCUGCCCCCUCCAAAAGAUUGGCCAGCAUGCACCCAAGGAAAGUGCAAAGAUAACACACAUCUCCAUUAUAGGCCUGUUGUGUCUGAAUAAAGAGGCACCUGCACCCCGCCCCACCAGAUGCUGAACCCAUUGGUCUUCUUCAGCUGGCUCCUGCAGCAAAGAGAGGCAACAGCCAUGAAGCACCUUCAGCCCAAGUUCUCCUAUCUCCUCCCUCCAUUUCCACUUUCACUUGUCUCCACUGCCUUCUCCAAACCCCUCUGUGGUUCCUCCUUCACUGGUAUCCUCUUUGUUCACCACAUCCUCCUCCUCUUCCUCUCCUUCCUGCUGGCUAUCAUGCUCGCUGUUGACCCCCUCUUUCUUUGCAAACUCUGUUAAUUGCUUACUUUCUCUCCAUCAUCAUCAUCUCCAAGUCCGCACUCCUCCUUGCUGUUUGUACCAUGCCUGCCUUCUCCCACAACAGCAGCUGUCCCUCAGUACCAAUCAGCAUGAAAGGGUAGAAGAAGAGUCUCCUCACUGGCUAAUUCCCCGCCUCCACUCUGAUUGGCUUCAAGCAGCACAAGAGGACAAGGAAGCAUGUCAACCAAGAGAGAAGACUCUUCUCAGCGGCCAACACAAUCAUCUUUCAUGAUGAUUUGUUCACCAGGCCAUGUCUUCUCAACAAGACUGGCUCUGCUCUGCACCCUCCUCAAGUGCUUUUGCCUGGCAAGAAUAUGUCGUUGAACUGUGAUAAUAUCUCUUGCUUGCAAAUGUGCCUGCUGGGCUAAAAAAGUCCCCCCACUUCAGUUACAUGUAUUGCAGUUAUCAAUAUUGCGCAUAUGGAAGCCACUGGAUAAAUAAAAACCCGCUCUUCUUUUAAAUAAAAAAAUUCUAGCCCAAAAAUAUGGUUCAAAAGCUUUGCUUAUGGAACUUAACUCCAAAACAGCUUAAAGCAAUAAAAGUUGCAUGCAGUUCGUUGCACAAUUUCUUAUACUUAUCCCAACAUAUUUGUCUUAGAUUACAAAUAUCUUGCAUCCUGAACUGAAAAUAAAAUCCCCGCCUCUUCCCCAAACAACCUCCAACAGCCUGAGGCUGUUUACUGGAGAACAGAGAUAAACACAUCCAUUCUCUUAAAUAACUUGGAGCAAAGAGCUUACAGACCCAAGAUGGAUGCCUGCAGAUUAGCAAAUGCAGAGAUUUAGGGAUGCCAUUCUGGAUUUCUGUAGGGUUUAUUCCUUAGCCCUUUUCUUCUCCUGAAGAUAUCCCAAAAGGCAGCGAAGGUUUAGGAUCAGAGUUUUCCUUCUCCUAGAUGCACUACCUUCCCAGAUUAAUGAGCCCCAUGUGGCAUCAUCAUCAUCAUCAUCAUCAUCAAACCAGGAAGGCAGUGUGUUGGCUGCAGGAGAGCUGCCCUCUAACCUCUGGGUCUAAUUUGUCCCACCAGAGCUACCAUUUUGGCCAAGCCAUGCCCAUGUGUCCUACACUUGAUGACAUGCAUGAUGUUUUAAGCUCCCAAUUGUUGCUUUGACUGACAAAGGCAUGCUGGUAGGUAUUUUGUCAAAUGCAAGAGUUAUUUUGAAGUCAGGGGCAAUCACAGCAAAAAUGAAACAGUCUUCAAGCAAACUAACAGAGCAUGAACAAGAUACAGUGGUAACUCUGGUUGCGAACGGGAUCUGUUCCGAAGGCCCGUUCACAACAUGAAAAGCCCACAACCUGAAGCACCGUAUCUGUGCAGGUGCAUGGCACGAUUUGGCGCUUCUGUGCACGUGCGAGCGGCAAAACCUGGAAGUAACCCUUUUCAGUACUUCUGGGUCGCUGCGGGAUACAACCUGAAAAAACAUAACAUGAAGCAAACGUAACAUGAGGUAUGACUGUACAGUAAAACACUUCCCCAUUCAGUCCUUGGAAGCUCCAAGGUUCAAUAAAGGGGAGACGCCAGUUGGCCAGUAUGCAGCCCCAUCGCAGCCNNNNNNNNNNNNNNNNNNNNNNNNNNNNNNNNNNNNNNNNNNNNNNNNNNNNNNNNNNNNNNNNNNNNNNNNNNNNNNNNNNNNNNNNNNNNNNNNNNNNGAUUUUACAAACAAGUUUUAUACAAUACAAACAAAUAAAAAGACAUACAAACAUGUAUAGUUUCAUAACCUUUUUUUCAUAACCCUCUCUUCUCGGACUCCCCCAAACCUCCCCUUCCUACAUCCCAAUUCCCAAAAUUAUUUCAGCAAAUUCUAAAUAAUUUUAUCAAAUAUAUUUUUCUUAUUUUUUUUUUCUUCAACUUAAUCUUAUGUCGCUGUAAUCUCCUUUUCUUUCUCCAAACCUCGACAUUUUAACAUUCCUCAAUUUUAUGAUAGUUCUUUAGAUAGAUUUUAAAUUUCUUCCAAUCUUCUUCCACCGUCUCUUUCCCCUGCUCACGGAUUCUGCCAGUCAUCUCCGCCAAUGUCAUAUAGUCUAUAACCUUCAUCUGCCACUCUUCCAAGGUGGGUAGUUCUUCUGUCUUCCAAUACUUUGCGAUGAGUAUUCUUGCUGCUGUCGUAGCAUACAUAAAAAAAGUUCUGUCUUUCUUUGAUACCAAUUGGCGGCAAUGCCCAAGAGAAAGGCCUCUGGUUUCUUCAGGAAAGUACAUUUAAGUACCUUUUUUAAUUCAUUAUAUAUCAUUUCCCAGAAAGCCUUAAUCUUUGGGCACGUCCACCAAAGGUGAUAAAAAGUACCUUCAGUUUCUUUACACUUCCAACACUUAUUAUCAGGCAAAUGAUAAAUUUUUGCUAGCUUGACUGGAGUCAUGUACCACCUAUAGAUCAUUUUCAUAAUAUUUUCCUUUAUGGCAUUACAUGCCGUAAAUUUUAUACCGGUGUUCCACAACCAUUCCCAGUCAGCAAACAUAAUGUUAUGACCAAUGUCCUGUGCCCACUUAAUCAUAGCUGAUUUAACUGUUUCAUCUUGUGUAUUCCAUUUCAGCAGCAAAUUAUACAUUCUUGACAAGUUCUUAGUAUUGGGUUCUAACAGUUCAGUUUCUAAUUUUGAUUUCUCCACCUGGAAGCCAAUUUUCCUGUCUUGUUUAUACACCUCCAUUAUUUGAUAAUAAUGGAGCCAAUCUCGUACUUUGGGUUUCAAUUUCUCAUAGCUCUGUAGCUUUAAUUUAUCUCCAUCUUGUUCCAAAAUUUCCCGAUACUUUAGCCAUUCGGCUUCCAUAUUAAGCUUUUUCAACGCCGUGGCUUCCAAAGGUGACAACCAUCUAGGAGUCUUACUUUCCACCAAAUCUUUAUAUCUUAUCCAAACAUUAUAUAAUGCUUUCCUGACAAUAUGAUUUUUAAAGGCCCUAUGCACCUUGAUUUUAUCAUACCAUAAAUAUGCAUGCCAACCAAAUGUAUUGUUAAAACCUUCUAAGUCCAAGAUGUCUGUAUUCUCGAGGAGCAUCCAUUCUUUCAGCCAGCAAAAAGUUGCUGCUUCAUAAUACAGUUUUAAGUCUGGCAGGGCAAACCCCCUCUUUCUUUUGCAUCCGUCAGUAUUUUAAAUUUUAUUCUGGGUUUUUGCCCUGCCAGACAAAUUUCGAAAUAUCCUUCUGCCACCUCUUAAAACAGUCUAUCUUGUCUAGAAUUUGUAAUGUUUGGAACAAGAAUAACAUUCUGGGCAAUACAUUCAUCUUGAUAACUGCAAUUCGGCCUAACAUUGACAAUUUCAAAUUUGACCAUAUUUCUAGAUCUUUUUUAAUUUCCGACCAACAUUUUUCAUAAUUGUCUUUAUACAGGUUCAAAUUUUUAGAUGUCAAAUAGACCCCUAGGUAUUUCACCUUCUUUACCACUGUCAAACCUGUUUCAUUCUGAAACUUCUCCCUUUCCAUGACUGUUAAAUUUUUUUCCAAGACUUUAGUCUUUUGUUUAUUCAAUUUAAAUCCAGCUACCUGGCCAAAUUCUUGGAUUAGCUCCAACACCCUUUUUGUACUAGUGUCUGGCUCUUGUAAAGUAAGUACUAAAUCAUCUGCAAAGGCCCUUAACUUGUAAUGUUUAGCUCCGACCUGUACACCUUUAACCUGCUGGUCAUCUCUAAUCAUAUUUAGCAACACCUCCAGAACAGAAAUAAAAAGUAAUGGGGAGAUAGGGCACCCCUGUCGUGUCCCUUUUUCUAUUUUAAAUUCUUCAGUUAUCACAUUAUUUACAAUCAAUUUAGCUUUUUGUUCAGUGUAUAUGGCACCCAUACCAUUCUCGAAUCCUUGGCCUACCCCCAUCCCAUGAAGAUUCUUUUUCAUAAAACUCCAAGAAAUAUUGUCAAAGGCUUUCUCCGCGUCUACAAAGAUCAGAACUGCUUUAGUGUUUAUAUUCACCUCUAAUAAUUCCAAAAUGUCUAUUAUGUUCCUCACAUUGUCUGAUAAAUGCCUUUUGGGAGAAAGCCUGCUUGGUCCUUAUGAAUCUUCUCCAUCAACACUCUUUUCAAUCUUUUUGCCAAAAUGUCUGCAAAAAUUUUGUAAUCCACAUUAAGUAAUGAUAUUGGGCGGUAGUUCUUAAGUUGAUUCUUUUCAGUCUCUGUCUUUGGUAUGAGUGUAAUGUACGCUUCUUUCCACGAUUCUGGUGCCCUUUUUCCCUCUAAGAUCUCAUUGCAGACUUCCUUUAAUGGCUGUACCAACCACUCCUUCAAAGCCUUAUAAUAUCUGGAAGUCAGUCCAUCUGGUCCUGGAGAUUUGCCCAAUUGCAUGUUUUGAAUGGCACCCUCUAUCUCUUGAUCUGUUAUUCUCUGAUUUAGAUCCACCUUGCUUUGAUGAGAGAUUUUUUGUAGUCCAUACUUUUUAAGAAAUUCUUCUAUAUCCUCCUCCUUCUGUGGUCCUUGUGAAUAUAGUUUUUAAAAUAACUCAAAAACAAUUUCUUAUCUCGUUAGGUUUAGAUAUAUUCUUUCCAUCCACUUCUAGGCUUGUAACUGUGUUUAGUUUCUGUCUUUUCUUCAAUUGCCAAGCCAGAAGUUUACCACAUUUAUCUGCAGAUUCAAAUGUCUUUUGUCUCAUUUGUUUUAUCUUCCAUUCAAUCUCUUGAUUCAUCAAUUCCAUGUAUUGUGUCUGAUAUAACUUAAUCUCUCUCAAAAUCUCCUGGGACUUUGGUUUUGAUCUCAAUUUCUUCUCUCCUUCUUUUAUCUUUUCCAAGAUCUUAUCCUUCUUCUCAUUUUGCUUUCUCUUUUUUACUGAAUUUUGUUGAAUUAGAAAUCCUCGCAUCACUGCUUUACUUGCGUCCCAGAUCACUCUUUUUUCUACAUCAGUUUUUAGAUUUAUUUCAAAAUAGUCCUUUAAAGUUUUUUGGGCCUUUCUGUGGAUCUCCUCAUCUCGAAACAGGGUGUCAUUCAUCCUCCAUCUGAAUUGACCAGUUGUUGUAAGUUUCAUUUCCAUCUUCACGGCGUUAUGGUCGGAGCAAGUCUUUGGGCAGAUUUCCACUUUUUAAUCUUUGGAGCCAACCCACUAGUAAUCCAAAUUUGAUCGAUUCUGGUCCAGGUCAUCAUUGCUUCAGAGAAAAGGUUCCCUCUCUCUCGAGAGGAUUCCUUGUUCUCCAAAUAUCAAUCAAGUCCAUAUUUUCAGUUAUUUCAAAGAAAGUCUUUGGUAGUCUCCCAUCUCUGGUGAUUACCUGUCUUUGUGCUUUGUCCAUAUUUGUAGAUACCACUCCAUUCAUGUCUCCCAUCAUGAUUAAUUUGUAAUCCAAAUAGUCCAACAAUGUCUCAUGCAACUUCUUAAAAAUUCUGACUUCCCUUCAUUAGGUGCAUAUAUCCCUAGUAUCAAAAAUUUUCACCUUGAAUUUGCACUUCAAUUGCCAAAUACCUUCCUUGUUCAUCUUUAAAUAUAAACUUUGGGGAAAGUUUUUCUUUUGCAUAGAUUACCACUCCUCUUUUCUUAACUUUAUCCGAUGAAAUAAAUUCUUGGCCUAAUCUCUUAUUGACGAGUAGUUUCCUAUGCAAUCUUGUUAUAUGAGUUUCCUGUAAACAAAUUAAGUCCAACUGCUCUUUUUCAAUAAAUGAAAUAUAUUUUUCCUCUUUCGCGGAAGGUUAAGUCCGUUACAAUUCCAACUUAGAAGUUGCAAGGCCAUCCUGAAGCUAUUUGCCUCCUGUUGCUCCGAGUAGUUGUUCUUCUUCUGUUGGUGAUUUCAGUCCAAACGUCAAGUUUAAAAUGUCUGUUGCGUCUUUCGAUUCUGGUGUUAUUUCCUCUCCGACUGUUCCUUUCAGAAGGUCUUCCCUAUAGUGAUUUAGAAAUUGAUCUCGAUCUUCUACUGAUCUUAUCCUUAUUUUCCUACCUUUAAAUUUAAAAGAUAGGCCUUGCGGGAAUUCCCACCUGAAAGGUACUUCGUUCUUCUUCAGCAAUCCGACCAGUUCUUUAUAGUUUGUUCUUGCGUCUAGAAUUUCCUUUGGAAUAUCUUUAAAAAUCUCCACAAAAGAAUCUUCAAUCUCGAGUGUUCUUUGAAAAUGCAGGCUCAAUAUUUUAUCUCUCUCCUCUCUUGAUCCUAAUGUUAUUAGGCAAUCCCUUGGCUUCUUCCUACCUUGUGCUCUUCCCAGUCUAAAGGCAGUGACUAUUUUAAUUUCUUCUUUCUCUAACUCCUGUUGCCAAAAAUCCGCAAAUUCUUUGGAAAGGAAGUUCGCCAAGUUGUCUCCUUCGCUUUCAGGCACCGCUCGUAGUCUUAAAUUUCUGUCUCUUCUCUGCAAUUCAAGCAUAGACAGGGCCAAUGUGUGAUCUUCUAACUUUUUGCAAACUGGUGCAAUUUUUUCCUGUGUAGCAUCCGCCGAGACUUUAGCUUCAUCAGCAGAGACUUUGGCUUCUUCUGCGAUUUUACGUAUAUUGGCAGAGUCCUCUAAUAUUUUAUUAAUAGAUUCUGUAUUAGAUGUCACCCUUUUCCCUAAUUCAUUCACACUUUGUGUAUUCUGAUCAAGUUUAAUUGAGAGUUCUGUCAAUUUUCUGCUAUUUUCCACCCCCUGCUUUGUCAAAGAUUCCAAAGACUCAUUUAUUUUGACCAAAGCUUGUGUUACAGGAUCUGAUGACAUUAUUGUUCUUGUCUGACCAGUUGCAGCUGGUGCCACUGGGAUGCCUGGGACUGAAACUCUUCGCUGUGAAGAUUUUACUUUGUAUUGUCUCCCAGACCUGGUUGUUGUCUCUUCUGGUGCACCACUCAUGCCUAGCCAAGGUCACUCUCACAGCUGUUAGUUGUUUUUCAAGGGAAAUUUCCACUGCCUUAGUAGUUACAAUCCAAUUUGCAACAAUUCUCAAAGUGCCCUCUAGGGAAGAAAGUUUCCAAAACUAAACAAAAUGUCUUACAGCCAAAAAUUCCCCUGAGGUUUCCCAGUAGUCAAUUGUAACAAUUCUUAUAUUUUCAGAGUUCAACAAACCUGUAAUUUAGUAUCUCUCCUGAGCUGAGUAGUUUAAGACAAUGUAACAAUCCAAAUGACAGCUCACUGACAGUUGUAUCUCUCCAGGUUCCUUUGCCCCGGCAGUCCGUUUCAGGGGUGUUUGACACAGUGGUGAAAAGUUUUUAAAGUCCUUUUCUGGCAGGUUCUAAUCACAAUUUCCUCCCCCUUUUGCUCCUGCCUACCAAAAGGGGGGAAGUUCACAGUUUAUGUCUGGUUCUCUUAACUCUUUGCGAUCUCUCAAUGGUUACAGCUUUUGAUCCUUCUUUGCUUUAUCCUUAUGCAGUCCGGGAAAGGCUGACUUCCUUACUUUAAACCAAUCCCGUUUUCAGCCAAAUUUCAAAAGAUAGUUGUAAAUCCCAAUUAGGUCUCAGUCUUACUCACGAGUUUUGCUUUGUAAUCCAAUUUUCAGGAAGGAAUCGGCGCUCUCCGGCUAUGGCGAUGCGGCUUCGCUUCACAAGCUGGGUAGCGGCUCUCAGCACCGCUUCUCCCCCCGCUGCCGUUCCGGAGCCUUUAAAAGGCUCCCUUGCGAUUUCGGGGGGGCGCGAUGGUGCCCACCGAGCCUCCUUGUUCACAGGCUUCCGCGCCUGUAAUUUUUGAGGGUCCCCGCUUCGCCGUAGCGACAGGACCCGAACUUGUAAAGCAGACCCCCUCCGGAGCUCGGAGGGAAAUCCGCCAUUAGCCGAUGGCGCCGACCGGAAGUUCAGGGCCUCUGAUGAAUCUCCAGGGGUCAGACCCCAUCUGAGAGACUUACUGUACACAUUGUCUGGCCAUUGAGAUGGGAAGAUGAGAACAAGCAGCACCAUCAUCUCCAGUGUGUUCUUUUCCCUGUGGAUGCCAUGAUAUCCUUCAGCAAUGAUCCAUAAAUAAAGGGAAACUUUUGUUCUCUUUUGAUGAUAUCUUUGAGCCUCAUGGAGAGGGGAGCAGAACUAGUGCUCAACCACUGAAGUCUUCUCCGAUUCCAUUAUCUCCAUCAUUUCUGAAUCAAGCUUCCAUUUGAAGACAUAGGUUUCCUUAGGUCGUUGAUGGGACUUCAACAGAUCAACUGGGAGCUUUAAACUUUACUUUGAUUGAGAAAGACAAGCUCCCACCCACUCACCAGCUGGCUGGUAUUCUGUCAAAUGCAAGAGUCAUUUUGGAGUUAGAGGGACCACAGCACAAGUAGAGGAAAGUUCAGAAGGGAUAAUUCCAGCAUGAAAUAACAUGCUUAAAUCAGGCACAAAAAACAGUGACACAGUCCUUAAGCAAACUAACAAACCAUGCAUAUGCGGGGGCCCAGCGCCUUCUGUCAAGAGUUUGGGUGUAACAUUUGAUGCCUCCCUUUCCAUGGAGGCACAGGUUGCAGCCACAGCAAAGGUGGCAUUUUUCCAUCUCUGCCGUAUUAAGCAGUUGGUCCCUUACCUUUCUCACCCUGAUCUGGCGACAGUGAUCCAUGCGGCGGUCACCUCCAGGCUCAAUUAUUGUAACUCACUCUACAUGGGGCUGCCCUUGAAGCUGACCCAGAAAUUCCAGCGGGUGCAGAAUGCUGCGGUGAAGCUCCUUACGGGGUCCUCGCCGUGGGACCACGUUCAUCCAGUGCUUUACCAAAUUCACUGGCUCCUGGUGGAGUACAGGGUCAGGUUUAAGGUGCUGGUUUUGACAUUUAAAGCCCUAUGCGGCCUAGGACCCACAUACCUAUGGGACCGCCUCUCCUGGUAUGCCCCACGGAGGACCUUAAGGUCCACAAAUGACAACACUUUGGCGUUCCCAGUUCACAAGGUGGUUAGACUGGUCUCAACUAGGGCCAGGGCCUUUUCAGUACUGGCCCUGACUUGGUGGAACACUCUGUCACAAGAGACUAGGGCCCUGCGGGACUUGACAUCUUUCUGCAGGGCCUGCAAGACAGAGCUGUUCCGCCUGGCGGACUCCAUCUGACCCUUAUGUUUCCCUCCCCUUACGGUUUUGAUCUAUGGGCUCCUUUUAAAAUGAGGCUGCAUUUUAAAUUGCAUUUUAACCUGUAUUUUAAAUUGCUUUAUUUUAUUUUUUUCUAUUAUGUUUUUAUUGUAAUUUUAUUGGUGUUAGCUGCCCUGAGUCCCGCUUUGGCCGGGGAGGGCAGGGUAUAAUUAUUAUUAUUAUUAUUAUUAUUAUUAUUAUUAUUAUUAUUAUUACUUCUCCUUUCAGUUUUCAGGAGCUCAAGGGAUCAAUAAAGGAGAGACUCCAGCCGGCCAUCUUGGUCAGGGCUUCCACCCAAAGAGGACACAGUUACUGAUUUUCUCGAUGGUUGCUUUUCAGGGAAAAACGAAGUCAUCAGAAAGGUACAUAUUGUCUAGCCAUUGAGAUGGGCUGUUGAGAACAAGUAGCCUGUUCAUUCUUUUCCUUGUGGGUGCCACAACAUCCUUCAUCAAUGAUCCAUAAAUAAGGGGAAACUUUUGAUUAUAUCUGUGAGUCUCCUGGAGACUGGAGCAGAACCAGUGUUCAACCACACAUGUCUCAUUCUAUUCCAUUAUUUGUUUCCUUCUUCAUACUGCUACAUAUGCCAUGGGAGGGCCAGCUAUUCUCAGCACUGCAGUUUGCUCUAAAAGACCCAACUGGUCAGUUUGGGGUAUUUGAGUUUCAGAAUGUCCAGGAUGAUGUCCUGGGUGUUUUAGCUAUGAUUCCUGCAUCUCGGGGGGUGGGGGUGGGGGGUGGACUUAAAGCCCAUGGGGUCCCUUCCAACUCCAUUAUUCUAUGAGGAACGUAUGAAGAGCCAAUGGCCCAUCAAGUCCAGCAUCCUGUUCUCGCUUUGGCCAAUCCAAUGAGGAGCACAAGAGCAGCCAGCCCUUCAGCAAUGGCCAUUCAGAAGCAUCGCUGCCUCCAGCUGUGGAAGCAGAGCAUAGUCAUCCUAGCUAGUAGGCAUUAACAGUCUUCUCUUCCAUGAAUUCCAAAGCCGUCUAUUUUAGAGAGAGGGAGCAAGAAUUAAUUAUCCAAAACUGAAAGGGUGCAUGGUAGCCAUGAAUAUCAUUAGCAGAAUGUUUGGAACACCCAGUCUUUUCCUUCCCCCUGAAAGCUUCCUGUCACCAUUCCCUUGGGAAGUACAAAUAGAGGAUCCUUUCUCUCUCUGCAAUAUCUUUGAGCUAGAAGGCAACUCUGGUGGCUCCAGCAUUCAGCCAUGAAGACCUCUGCCCCUCUACUUCUCCUGUUGGUGCUGCUUUCAGUCCCAGGUAAAAUCUAAAGGGCUGUCCAUCCACAGUACUCCAAGAAGAUCUGCCAAACUAGCCCCUUGGCUGCUUUGUAGUGCUUGGAAUAUUAGCCCAUUUGAUACUAUGUCAUCUGUGUAAGAUUGACGUUCUAUUUCCUGAUUAAGUGGGAAAUGGAAUGGACUGCUUUUGCUGAAUAGAAUUGUAGCAUUGUAGAAUUGGAAGGGCAUUAUCUAGCCCAAUCCCCUGCCAUGCAUAUACUUCUGUUGAUGCAGCCGAGAAUAGCAUAAGCUUUUCUUUUUGCUGCUGCAUCACAUUGUUAACUCAUGUUACUCUCAUGCUGGCCUUUGGUGUUACUAAGAGCCCUAGCUCCAUUCACAUAUACAAUAGGGAAUGCAUAGAGAUGUUGGUAAUCUCUUUUCACUUGCGGGAUUGAUUUCUAUCUUCAUAAUAUUUCGCCAGUACCAACUACCACCAACAAUAUACUUUGUAAUGGCGUCUGCAAGCACCGCUGUUCAGCUGGAGAAUAUGAGUCUUCUUUAGACCCCUGCCAGGAAUCUGGUCAUGUCUUCUGCUGCAAAAAGGAAGGUAACGUGCUAAACUGUUAUUAUGGGUUGCAAUCAUUAUGAUUUGGGAAAGUGGUGAAAAGAUAAGAAGCAGGGUUUUGUGCGGUUCUGUUCAAAGCAAGCCGAAGACCAAAUAAGGAGCAGGGGCUCUGCAUGGAGAAGGCAGAGAGGUGCUAUUGUGUGACGGAGGGAAGGUGGAACUGCUCAACAAGUAUUAGAAAAGAUAAUUAAACAGUGGAUCUGUGAGCACAUUGAAAAGGAUGCCAUGGUUACUAAAAACUGGCAGGAGUUUCUCAAAAGAAACAAGUCAUGGCAGAUGAAUCUUUUUUAUUUUUGGAUAGAGUGGCAAGCUUGGUAGAUCAGAAGAAUGCUGUGAGAGCCAGUGUGGUGUAGUGAUUAGAGCGGUGGACUCGUAAUCUGGUGAACUGGGUUCGAUUCCCUGCUCCUCCACAUGCAGCUGCUGGGUGACCUUGGGCUAAUCACACUUCUCUGAAGUCUCUCGAGUGUUUGUUGUGGGGGAAGAAGGGAAAGGAGAUUGUUAGCCACUUUGAGACUCCUUAGGGUAGUGAUAAAGCGGGAUAUCAAAUCCAAACUCUUCCUCUCUUCUUCUUCUACCCUAAGGCAGGAGUAAUCCAAUGCACAAAUAUAGAAUUGGGUACACCUGGCUUGAUAGUACAUGUGCACAGGAUUUAGGGGUAGACAACAAUUCUUUUUUAGUAGACAACAAAUUUAACAUGAAUCAACACUGAUGCAGCAGGAUAAAAGCUUAUGCAAUUCUAGGCUGCAUCUGGUUAAGAACUUUGCUUCAGGAUGAGGACAGAAAUCGUGCGGCGGCAGGAGGCCCCAUUAGCUAAAGUGGUGCUUCAGGUUAAGAACAGUUUCAGGUUAAGAACGGACCUCCGGAACGAAUUAAGUACGUAACCAUAGGUACCAUGUAUGUCAUAUGAGCAAAAUUAAAGUUCUAUUUCUUCAUCUAGUAGGAAAUGUAAUAGAUUGCUUAUGUUGUUUAAGAAAUGGUUAGAGAUGUUGGUGAUUUCUUCUCAUCUGAAGGAUUGAUUUCUAUCUUCUAACAUUUCUCCAGGAUCCACUCCCAUUCUGAACGAUAAUUGUAGUGGUCACUGCUCACGAUCAUGUUCAAAUAGAGAAUACGUGGCUUCAUUAGACCGCUGUGAUCUACCUGGUUAUGUCUUCUGUUGUAGAAAGAUAGGUACGGUAAUUGUUGGGAAUAUGAGAUGAGAUACCCACUUUGUGGAAGUUGACCCCAGUUUCAGUCACCACGCAGAGGCAGCAGAAGUUUACUGUUGCAGGAGAUAAGGCUUCAGUAAUCAGUUCAGUUGAUAACCAGACAGAAAGAAAAGGAUGCUGUGAUUAUAUCCUUAGGAGACACUUUCCUUCCUCCUGAAAACUUCUCUGCUGCCUGUCUCUGGGCAUAUCACUAUUCCCUUAGGAAAUAUAAACAGAGGAUACUUUCAUUCUCUUUCUGAAAUAUCUUUCAGUCAAGAUGACUCAUGUGGCUCUAGCAUUCAUCUGUGAAGACCUAAGUCCCUCUAGUUCUCUUUUUGAUGCUGAUUACUGUCCCGGACAAAAUGUAAAGGUCCCUCAAACCACAGGACUGUAGUAAAAUAAGAAAUAUAUAACUAGCCCAUUUGGGUGUCCUUUGCUGCUCUACCUUGUUCGAAAUAUUAGCUCAUUUGAUGCUACAGUAGUACUUUGGUUCUCAAACACCUUAGUACUCAAACAACUUGGAACCCAAGCACUGCAAACCCGGAAGUAAGUGUUCCAGUUUGUGAACUUUUCCCAAUUUUUAAGUCCACUCUAGGAAUGUUGUAUUUGACUGCUCUGUGUUUCACAUCCCAUAGUUUUUAACAGUCUGGAACGGAUUAAUCCAUUUUGCAUUACUUUCUAUGGGAAAGCGUGCCUGGGUUUUGGAAUGCUUUGGUUUUUGAAAUGACUUUGGAACGGAUUAAGUUUGAGAACCAAGUUACCACUGUAUGUCAUUUGUGCAAGAUUAAAGUUGUAUUCAUUUAGUGGAAAAUAUAAUGGACUGCUUUCACUGAAUAGGUGAUUCUUAGAGAUGUUGGUGAUGUCUUCUCAUCUGAGGGAUUGAUUUCUAUCGUCACAAUAUUUCUCCAGGACCUGUCAUAAAUGAUUAUUGUAAAGGUAGCUGCAAACCAAGUUGUUCAAGUACAGAAUAUGUGGCUUCAACAGCCUUCUGCCAUCAUCCUGAUAUGGUCUACUGCUGUGCAAAGAAAGGUAACAUGCUAAUUUUUUGUUAUGGGCCUCAAUUAUUAUGAUUUGGAAAAGAGGUUAAAGAUAAUAAACAGUAGUGUUCAAAGCAGGAGGAAGAACAAAUAGGGAGCAGGUGCUGUGUGGGGGAGAAGAUAAAGAGAUGCUAUUGGAUGACAGAGAAAAAGUGCUACUGCUCAGCACCUACUUUGCCUCUGUCUUCACCCGUAAGGAAAACAGUGUACAAUGUGGUGAUAAUAGAAUGAACGAUGCAGAGAGGGUGCUGCAACCCAAGAGAGGAAAGGAGGUGGUAAGGGAACUCCUAGCUUCUCUGAAUGAAUUCAAAUCUUCAGGGCCUUCUGAUCUGCACUCAGCCAUACUAAAUGAAAUUGCAGAUCGAAUCUCACUGCCUCUGUAUAUACCGGUAAUAUAUGGGAAUCCUUGGAGAACAGCUGGUGUCCCUGCAGACGGGAAGUGGACAAACUUUGUCGCCAUCUUCAAAAAGUGAAAAAAGUGGACCCAGGCAUAUUGCAAGAAACGAGAUUCUGACUAAACAUAGGAAAGAACUGAUUAUAAGAGCUGUUUCAAAGCUGAACAUACUGCUUUGGAAAGUGCUGGACGUUGCUUUCAUUGGUGAUUUAUAAACAGAGGUUAGAUGGCCAUCUUUCAGGGAUUAUUUAGUGGUGCAUUGCAGGGGUUGGAGUCCCUUAACCCACAAGCCCCACCCAGAAUCAAAGGUCAAGAAUGAUGGAAACUGUAACUGAACAACAUCUGGAAUGAAGGAGGUCUGCCAGGCCUGCAGUGAAGAAUGACAUAUUCAUUCAGAUAUACUCAUAGAUUUAGUUCAUAAAAGAAAUGUCCCAACGGGCUCUUUGAUUAUGUGAUUCCUCCACCCUCCCUCUGAAAAACAUAGCCUUACUUUUUGGGAAGGAAUUCUUUGCAAAUGGUUCAGAAUGUCUUUUAAUGAUUUGCAACUUUAAGAAAAGGACAACUAAGUUGUAUUCAGAGCAGAGUCAUUAACAUUAAAAUUAAUAAACUUAAGUUAGUCAAUUGAAUUAAUUUUAGUGGGUUUAUCUGUAGUAUGACUAACUUUGGGUACUUACCCUUGAAAAUGAAUCUGGAAAUUAAUCAGCAUUGUGGGCAUCUGACUAGUCUUCUUUACCUUGGAAGAUAUUUCCUUUACAAAGCAUUCGUGUUAGAAAGUUGAUAUGGAUUCAAGAAUCUGGCUUUUCCAAAAGGCCAUACAGUUAUUUUAUUUAAUUAUCCUUUCUUCCUGAAUGUGGUCUAUGGCAUGAGAUUUAAGAUGUUCUCUUUUCUUCAGCAGGGGCAUUGUAGCAGAUCAUAAAGGUAAAGGUAAAGGGACUCCUGACCAUUAGGUCCAGUCGCGGACGAGUCUGGGGCUGCGGCGCUCAUCUCGCUUUAUUGGCCGAGGGAGCCAGCGUACAGCUUCCGGGUCAUGUGGCCAGCAUGACUAAGCUGCUUCUGGUAAACCAGAGCAGUUUACCUUCCCGCUGGAGUGGUAGUACCUAUUUAUCUAAUUGCACUUUGAUGUGCUUUCAAACUGCUAGGUGGGCAGGAGCUGGGACCGAACAACGGGAGCUCACCCUGUUGCGGGGAUUCAAACCAUCGACCUUCUGAUCGGCAAGUCCUCGGCUCUGUGGUUUAACCCACAGCACCACCCGCUGAUUAUAAAAUGGUGUAAAAUGGUAGCAGAUCAUAAAAUGGUGUAAAUUCCCAAACUGCACCUGUGCCUUUGUAAAGGAAAAAAAACUAUGUCAUUUGCCCAGUAUAAAAAAAAUCUAAUUCUUUGAAAUGUAAUGGGCUGCUUUCUCUGUAUAUGAAAUGCUUCGAGAUGUUGAUGAACUCUUAUCUGAGGGAUUGAUUUCUUUAUAGCUAAUAUUUCUCCAGGAUCUACUCACACCCAGAAGAAAGAAUGUAAAGGUCGCUGCAAGCCACGUUGUUCAAGAGAUGAAUAUGAGGGUUCUGGAAUGACUUGCCAUAAUAUUGAGUAUGCGUACUGCUGCAAAGGGACAGGUAACAUCCCUAAUUUUUGCUAUGGAACACAACUAUUUUGAUGGGUUUUUGGGGUAAGGUGCUCAGAGGGUGAGACGUUUUCAUUACUGUGAAGCAGAGUGGGAGAACGAGAAAGUAGCUUUGAAAAAGCAAUAGUAUUUCAAACAUUAGCAGUUGCAAAAGAGCAACACCUUAGUUAAGGUUUCAUUCUUUCAUUCUUUAUGGAUUUCAACACAAGAAACAUUUCAUGGAAGAGAGAUGAUACCGUAUUGGCUCAAUUAUAAGCCACACUUCCCCCCCAAAUUCCGAUCCAGAAAAGUUUAAGUGCAGCUUAUAAUUGUGAAGUUAUGGAAAAGAGGUUGAAGAUAAAAAACAAUAGUAUUCAAAGCAAGAGGAAGAACAAAUAGGAGCAGGUGCUGUGUGUGGGAGAAGAUAAAGAGAUGCUAUUGGGUGACAGAGAAAAAGUGCUACUGCUCAGCACAUAUACAUAUAAGGCAUUGCGGUAAUCUAAUCUUUUGAAUUAUGGUGCUGGAGGAGACUCUUGAGAGUCCCAUGGACUGCAAGAAGAUCAAACCUAUCCAUUCUGAAGGAAAUCAGCCUUGAGUGCUCAUUGGAAGGACAGAUCGUGAAACUGAGGCUCCAAUACUUUGGCCACCUCAUGAGAAGAGAAGACUCCCUGAAAAAGACCCUGAUGUUGGGAAAGAUGGAGGGCACAAGGAGAAGGGGACGACAGAGGACAAGAUAGUUGGAUAGUGUUCUCGAAGCUACCAGCAUGAAUUUGACCAAACAGCGGGAGGCAGUGGAAGACAGGAGUGCCUGGCAUGCUCUGGUCCAUGGGGUCACGAAGAGUCGGACACGACUAAAUAGCAACAAGAACAACAAUCUUGAAGUGGUCAGAGCAUAGACAAGAGAUGUUAGUCUAUCUGUAUAGAGAUGGGUUGCAGCUGGGCCACCAGCUGAGGCUGAUGGGAGGCUCUCUCCACCACUGAGGCCACCUGAGCCUCAAAUGACAGUAAAGGACCAGAAGUAGCCCCCUGAGGGAUUGAUUUCUAUCUUCACAAUAUUUCUCCAGGACACAUAGCAAAUGAUGAUUGUAAAGGUAGCUGCAAACCAAGUUGUUCAAGUACAGGACAAGUAGCCCAUUUGUUCCUUUCCUUGUGGGUGCCACGACAACCUUCAGCAAUGAUCCAUAAAUAAGUGGAAACUUUUGAUUAUAUCUCUGAGUCUCCUGGAGAGUGGAGCAGAACCAGUGCUCAACCACACAGGUCCUAUUCCAUUAUUUGUUUCCUUCUUCAUACUGCUACAUUUGCCAUGGGAGGGCCAGCUAUUCUCAGCACUGCAGUUUGCUGUAAAAGACCCAACUGUUCAGUUUGGGGUCCCGUAUUUUUCGCUCUAUAGGACGCACCCGACCAUAGGAUGCACCUUGUUUUAUUGGGGGAGAACAAGAAAAAAAAUUCUCCCCCCUCUCUGCUCAGCACCCCUUCAGCGAAGCAGCAGGAGAAAUGGAGCCCCUUCCAUUUAUCCUCCUACCUCGAUGAAGAGGCGCUGCGCAGCUCUCCUUCUCUGCUGAAGCCAGGAGAGUCUUGCUAUCAGGGAUAGCCGCCUGAAGCCUUUGGAGUGCAGAGGGACCUCGCGCUGUGCUCCAAAGGCUUCGGGUUCCUUUCGCUGAAGCAGGAGAGUCUUGCACUUCAGAGGCUUCGCGUUGCUAUCACUGAAGCCAAGGAGCCUGCAUUCGCUCCAUAGGAUGCACACACGUUUCCCCUUAAUUUUUGGAGGGGAAAAAGUGCGUCCUAUAGAGUGAAAAAUACGGUAUUUGGGUUUCAAAAUGUCCAGGAUGAUGUCUUGGGUGCUUUAGCUGAGAUUCCUGCAUUGCAGGGGGUUGGACUUGAAGGCCCAUGGGGUCUCUCCCAACUCCAUGAUUCUAUGAGGAACAUGUUGUUGUUGAAUCGUUUAGUCGUGUCCGACUCUUCGUGACCCCAUGGACCAGAGCACGCCAGGCACUCCUGUCUUCCACUGCCUCCCGCAGUUUGGUCAGACUCAUGAGGAACAUAAGAAGAGCCAAUGGCCUACCCAGUCCAGCAUCCUGUUCUCGCUUUGGCCAAUCCGAUGAGGAGCACAAGAACAGUCAGCCCUUCAAGCCAAUUUUUUUUAGUCAAGCCAAUUUUUACCAGUGGUUUUAACCAGACUCGGACUAACUUUGGGUACUAACCAUUGAGACUGAAUGCAUAGAUCAAAUGGCAAGAUGGGAAGCUAAUCAUUCUUUAUCUUUCAAGAUACGGCUUGGAGGUGAAGGGCAGGCAACCUGCCAUUGUCCCGCAGGCUCCCAAACUCAUUCCGAGGCUUGGGAGUGGAGGGCAGGUGGAGCACCUUUGCCCCACACACCCGGGCUGCUUCGAGCGGGGGUGGGGAGCCUCCCAAGCCUCCCCCCAGCUGUCACAAUGAAGGGGGAAUGCGGUUGGCAAAGAGGUGCGGCUUCACCACCACCAUGCGAUCCCCCGUGCCCUACCACUGUUAAUGGAGCGGGGGGGGGGCACCGCUUGGGAGUGUGUAUGGGGACUGCAUGCCCCUGCUGAAUGUAGCUUCUUGCCCAGCCAGACUCUGCCGCCGCUGUUAGGGAGCGGGGGGUGCCUGUCAAGCAUGGGCGGGGUGGGGGGACCAGCAGUGGGUUGCAGGUGCCCGGGUGGACAGUGCAAACCUCCCCCCAGCUGCACCGUGUUUGAUUUCUGUUUAUGCCACUGUGCAGUUUUUGGAGUCACAAGACUCUGUUGCCUCUCAUCCAGCCCAUUACUGAGGCAAGACAAUGGUCCAACACUUCCAAUUCUACACUUGCAGAUGUAAAAUUUUUGUGAUUGAGUGAAACCCAGUUCAGCUACUGAUUGAUUGAUUGAUUGAUUGUGUGUCUGCAUUACAUUGUUUAUUGCUUUCAUUUUAUGGAUCAAUAAUCCAUACUAGACAGUACAAUUCAUGUUAAAUUGCUGUUUUAGGGAUUCUUUUUAAAAGUCUGGAACAGAUUAAUGUUGUAUCCAUUUAGUGGAAAAUGUAAUGGAUUGCUUUCCCUCAAUAGGAGAUUCUUAGAGAUGUUGGUGAUGUCUUCUCAUCUGAGGGAUUAAUUUCUCAUCUGAGGGAUUAAGAGCCAGUGUGGUGUAGUGGUUAAGAGCGGUAGUCUUGUAAUCUGGGGAACUGGGUUCGCGUCUCCCCUCCUCCACAUGCAGCUGCUGGGUGACCUUGGGCUAGUCACACUUCUCUGAAGUCUCUCAGCCUCACUCACCUCACAGAGUGUUUGUUGUGGGGGAGGAAGGGAAAGGAGAAUGUUAGCCACUUUGAGACUCCUUAAAGGGAGUGAAAGGUGGGAUAUCAAAUCCAAACUCUUCUUCUUCUUCUAUCUACACAAUUUUUCUCCAGGACACAUUGCAAAUAAACAUUGUAAAGGUAGCUGCAAACCAAGUUGUUCAAGUACAGAAUAUGUGGCUUCAACAGCCUUUUGCCAUCAUCCUGAUAUGGUCUACUGCUGUGCAAAGAAAGGUAACAUGCUAAUUUUUUGUUAUGGACCGCAAUUAUUAUGCUUUGGAAAAGAGGUUAAAGAUAAUAAACAGUAGUUAGUAUUCAAAGCAAGAGGAAGAACAAAUAAGGAACAGGUGCUGUGUGUGGGAGAAGAUAAAGAGAUGCUAUUGGGUGACAGAGAAAAAGUGCUGCUGCUCAGCACAUAUGCAUAUAAGGCAUUGUGGUAAUCUAAUCUUGAAGUUGACAGAGCAUAGAGAACAGAAAUUAGUCUCUCUGAAUAGAGAGGGGUUGCAACUGGGCUACCAACUGAAGCUGGUAGCCACUCUCCAUCACUGAGGCCACCAGAGCCUCAAAUGAUAGCAAAGGACCCAGAAGUAGCCCCCGAGCUGCGUACCCACUCCAUCAGAGGGAGGGUAACCCCAUCAAGAGCAGGCAAUCUCCCACCCACUAAGAGUACCUCCGUCGUACCUGCAUUGAGCUUUCGUUUGUUGCCUCUCAUCCAGUCCAUUACCGAGGCAAGCCAAUGGUCCAUCACUUCCAGUGCCACACUUGCAGAUGUAAAGGAGAAGUAGAGCUGUGUGUCACCAGCAUAUCAAUGACAAUCUACUCCAGAACUCUGGAUAACCCCAUUCAAUGCUUUCAUGUAGAUGCUUAAAACCCCCCCAAAACAUUUAUUCAAAAGAUACAAUACAUUCUUGUCCACUGCCACAAUAUCUCGGAAUGAUCAGUCCAAUCUUCGAUCCCACAACACUGUCAUGUUGGCUUGCCUAAUAUCCUCAAUAGGAACCCAACUACUGAUCUGGUGGUGUAGACAUUUCCCAUCAAUAUAUCUCCUCAAAAGACACCUCUGUGAUUGUGAUGGCAUUAAAACAUCCUGCUCUUCAAUAAAAGAGAAAAGAGAGACCAGAUUUCAUGCAGGUGUUAAACAGCAUGGGGAUAACACGGAAUGCUAAAGAACCCCACAUUGAAGGUUCCAUGGGGCUGCAAGCAUCACCCUUGGGAAACCACCAUGAUGUCAACCACCACAAAGCAGUACCAACAACCCCUAACUUGGACAGCCGCUCCCCCCCCAAAAAGGGGGGGGGCUGACGGCUUUGACAACUUUAAAGUUUUGGGAAGGAAUAUCUAAGUUAAUUAUAUACAAUUUUAUUUUAUUUAAUAUGCAAAAUGAUGAUGCAACUUUAAGAAAAGGACAACUAAGUUAUACUCAGAGUGGAGCAUUAAAAUUCAUGGGCUUCAGUUAGUCAAGCCAAUUUUUACCAGUGGGUUUAACCAGACUCGGAUUAACUUUGGGUACUAACCAUUGAGACUGAAUGCAUAGAUCAAAUGGCAAGAUGGGAAGCUAAUCAUUCUUUAUCUUUCAAGAUGUUUGCUUUACAAAGCAUUCCAGUUAGAAUUAUAUGCUCAAGAAUUCUGGCUUUUCUAAUUUGCUCAUGUAAUAUAUGUUUUCCUGAGUGUGGAAUAUUGCAUGAGAUUUAGCAUAACUUGUUCUCUUCUCUUUGAUAGGGGAAGAAUAGCAGAUCAUAUAAGAGUGUCACAGGAAAUUCCUAAGUCGCACCUGUGUCUUCGUAAAGAAUGGAGCCCUAUUUCCAUUGCUAUUCUGAAGCAUUUGAUAUAUGAACAAUCUUUCAGAUGUUACUUUUGGUUACCAAGAGUCUUUCCAGGAAUUAACUAUCUCAUUCCUUUCUGCUCCUAAUAAAACCAAACCUGUUCUGCAGACCAAGUCCUUUGUCAUCUUUUCCUAUGCAAACUGGGAGGCAAAGUUAUCUUGUUUAUUUCAUUGCUAUAUGGUGGAAUUAAAAACUUCUCUGGUUUUCUUUGGCUUCAAAGGAAGGGAACUCAGCUUGAAAGGACGAGGUCUGGUGUUGUAGCACCCUGCUUGUGGUUAACGCUUAGCUGGAUUGAAAUAUUCAACGCAGCAAUAGAGAAAUUAAAAUAAUAAUUUAUUUGUCAGACAAAUAAAUGAGAGACACAGUGGUAUAUGGUUACCAAAAGCUCUGCCCACUCCAGCCCUGAUGGCCAGCACUUAUAUUUCCUCAGCCCAGCCCCCUUGCUCCUCCUUUGGCUGCCUCUGUCCAAUCAGCCUGGUUGAAAUUCCUAUUGGCCAUACACCCAUUUCCUAUUACCUUUUAUGGGAGACAAAGAGCUAUAUUUCCUUCUAUCCAUAAAUGGCAGACAAGUAGCCAUAUAUCUUACAUUUGCCUCGACAAGGCACCUUAAUUACCAGAUCACCUUUGCCCUAUUGCCCUAUUCACUCCAAAACAGAUGGCUAAUGGUUUUAAAUUUUCUUAAACAGAGAUCUUGGGUUCACCUUCUCACACACCAUCAAUGAAAUAAGAAUCUAACAUAAGAAUCUAACAUUUCUUACUUUCUAAAUCCUUUGCAUAAUUACAUUAAGCCAAUAUAUUUCAUACAUUAACAUAGCUUUUUAGAAGAAAAGGCCUUUUCAAAGUAAAAAGGAAACCGCUUCAAAAAAAAGCCUCUUCAGUUAACACCCCCUUUCCCAGCCAGCUGCUGUUCCUAUUAGCUCUUGCCCUUUAACCUUAUGAAAAUAUGGCUCGAGUCUAAUGGGAGGCACCUGGUAUUAUUUUCUGUUAAACAAUAAAUCUUACUAUUUACCAACUCUUGAUUAGUGUUUUUGCAGCUUGAUUGUAUUCUGUAAUAUGUAUGGUCAGUAUGACCUUUGCUCCCAGCCUGUAAUUUCCUUUUACAGCUUUGAGAAACGUGUCUCCUGCUACUGCUAUGAAUCAGGGAGGCCCUUGAGCAAGAAGAUAAACAACUGCCAAAGUACUUAGCCAGCUGCUUUUCUGCCUGGCAUGAAACAUACAAACAUUUGCAAAUAUAUCUUUUAAGCUCAUUUUAAAAUACAGUUCUUGAUCAGAUGCCUCGGUGUGUGUUUGUAUUUACUAGUCUCCUGUGGCUCUCCUGCUUCCUCCUUCACUUCAAACUGAGCUGGCAUAUGAUGCCAGGUGCAAAAGGCUCCAUCUUCCCCAGUCUCCCAGACACAUAUGCAGAUUUGUCCCUGCCUUGUCAUCAGAGGGAUAAUAUGAUAAGCAGCGGGAAAAGCUCAAAAUUGUCCCAAACAAGCAGAACAGCCUCAAUAAAAAUGUUAAUAAGUAUAAUAAUAUGCUGUUUAGAUUUCAGGUGUUGCCAAUUUUAUUUGCAGCAAAGGUACUUGGAAAGCCCCCAGAUUCCACAAUUUGGGAAUAUAAUGAAUGAUUCAAUUGCCCAGGGAAUCCUCACCCACUGCUGUUGUUUAUGGUCCUGUCUGAUGAACAGGAUAACAGCAUGGUUCUUUUUCUACAUUAUACUUGAAACAGGAAGUUUCAAUGAAUAUUUGUAGCCAUCUUGUAGAAAGGCAAAAAGAGCUUUAUGGAAUGGGCUGCCCUCACUGAAUAAGCAGUUUCCUCUUGGUUGCUUAUGGAUGUAAAGUGGAUGAACAAACCUUUUUGCAAGCGAAGGAGGCCUCUUCUGCUCCUUGUGUCCAAUGAGUUUUUUUUGAGGUUUCAUAUAUUUUUCUUAUGUUUUUCUCUGUUGGUGCUUUCUUUGUUUUGUGCACACUGACCUUCAGAACAUGUUUUUUUGGGUGGGACUGAGCAACCAAGAAGGAAGAAAAUAUCUGGCUUCUUUUCAGAUGUUCCUGGGUUUCCCCCUCCCUCUCACAGGGAUACUGUGUAUGUCCUACACUUGAUGACAUGCAUGUUGGCACGUGUGGGGCAGGCAAUGUUGUGUCUGGGCUUGGCAUGGCGCUAUUCUCAGCUAAUUGUCAGAGAUUCAAAGUGCAGUGCAGGUACCGUAUUUUUCGCUCUAUAGGACGCACUUUCCCCCCUCCAAAAAUAAAGGGGAAAUGUGUGAGCGUCCUAUGGAGCGAAUGCAGGCUUUCGCUGAAGCCUGGAGAGCAAGAGGGGUCGGUGCGCACCGACCCCUCUUGCUCUCCAGGCUUCAGACAGCUAUCCGCAAGCCUUCAGAGCGCUCUGAAGGCUUGCGGACAGCAGCAUGCAGCCUGAAGCCCGGCGAGCGCUGUGCCAACUCCCGCUGCACCAACUCCUGCUGCGCUCGCAGGGGUUCAGACAGCCAUCCACAAGCCUUCUGAGCGCGGCAGGAGUUCCUGCUGCACUCAGAAGGCUUGCGGAUAGCUGCCUGUUCUGGGUGCUGGGGUCGGGGGUGUUGAUUUAAGCAGAGUCUGGUUGCCCAGCGGAAGGAUGAGGAAAAUGUGUUACAUACUCUAUAUAGCUUUAUUUACAGUUCAAAGCUGGUAUAUUACAGAAAGACAUCUUGCCUCUGCAGGAGCAGAAAAAUGCAUCCUCUCUCCUCUCUCAGCUCGGAGAGAAUACAGAGUGAAAAACAGGAAACCAGUGUACGUCACAUCCAGUCUCCCUUUCCCGUGAGAAACUCCAACAGUACAGACUGUGGAAUGUAAACACCUGUCUCAUGACAAGUAGAGCUGCACAGUGAAGGAAAGCAGAAACCAACAUCCUCCCCUUUCUGUGAACAUCACUGGGCAGCGUGUUUGUACAAUAUCAGUACAAACCCAACUUCUGCACAUAGGUACAGUGUUGAUCCCUUGAUACAAUCUUGGACAAUACAUCAGCAGGAAUUUCAAUACCUGGCAUAUAGGACACCGUUACGAGUCCCUUCUGAAUACAUUCCCUAGCAUGCUGCAACUUUAAUUGUAAGUGCUUUGUGCUUUGCUUACAACCUUCAGACUUUAGCAAAGCCAAACAUGCUUUGUUGUCCUGGUAAACCUGGAUUGGACAUUUGACAGGAAUUUUCAUAUCUUUGCACAAUUGUACUAACCAUUCACAAUCCUUAAGUGAAUAAGACAGUGCAUUCAGUUCGGCUUCACAAGUACUUAAGCUAACUGUUGUUUGCUUCUUGCAUGACCAAUCAAACAGACUCUGAUUGUACAUGUAGCAAACUCCAGACGUACUUUUCCUGUCUGUAGCGUCACUUCCAAAACUUGCAUCUGGAAAUAUCUCAAGACCACCAGACUUCUGAUUGUUAAAUCUCAGUCUGUAAUGCAUAGUGCCUUUCAAAUACCGCGCUAUGCGUUUCAGAGCUUUCCAAUCCUUGACACUAGGAUUGUUGACUUGUCUGCUUAGCAAAUUACAGCUAACAGCAAUGUCUGGUCUUGAACAUCUGGCAAUGAAGUUUAGCUUGCCUAGCACACUCCUGUACAGUGUAGUGUCAGAAAAUGCUUCUUCAGUGUCAUCUACCUGAUAACCUGUUGUCAUCGGUGUGUCUACAGGGUUAGCAUCCAUCAGAUUUAGUUUGCUUAACACAUCAGCAAUUUUCCGUGACUGGUGUACUAGAAUGUUACCAUCUUGAUUUCUCUCUAUUUCCAGAGAUAGGUAGUUGUUUACCUCACCAAGAUCUUUCAUGUCAAAGUGCUCUUUCAGUUGAGCUAGGGCGUUAUUGUACAUUGCGACAUCUUUCCAAAAGAAUAAUAAAUCAUCAACAUAAAACAAACAGUACAGUUUCU
rnacentral:lncRNA from 1 species